GUAAAUACAAAUACGCUAAAUGGGCAUAAGCAGAAAUUCUACGCAUAAUUCGUCCUUGCCUGAUACAAUAUGGAACACAAUCAAAAGAAAACAGUGAAUAUGAACACACACAAAAUGCAAGCAAGAUCAGCUGAAAGGUUCAUACUAAUUAAUUGUAGCAAGCCUGUUAUGUAUUCAUGCCAGUUGGUCAAUUGACUACAGAAAGUAGAUAACAAGCCAGGUUGAUCAAAAUAAGCGAUUAAUUCCUAUAAGCCGACUUCACGCCUGACUAGUGGAUCCUACAUAGAGGGUGAAUUUUCCUCACGGGUUGCAGCAAACAAGCCCCUUCUGCAUCUCAGCCACCAGAUUGUAACUCUAGAUACCUGCAGGGCAAUCACAGCAUCUGUCAAACCAAAUGUGUGCCAUUCAUUCAUGAAAAUGCCAUUAAAGUUUUAUCAGAUGAUUUUGUAUGACUCAAAUAGUAAACAUUAGCUUCACCAUUGUGGAGAUCUCCAAAGACGAAUCAUCUCAGCAUUACAAAACCAACAUUAGAAACACAGAAUAGGUAAUUUAUAGUGUAGUGACCCUUGGCUUCUAUUAUUACUUUAUUGGCAAUCUUUGGCUAUAUCUGGUCCUAAUAGAGGAUAAAAGAUCAGUGGGCAUACAAGGGGUUCAUGGAGUAGGAAAUCAGAAAUUUCAAAGUUUUGUUUCUAGCUCAUUGUCGUUCUUCUUUUUAAAUGCAGAAGCAUCUAGUUAGUCACUAAUGGAUGAAUUUAAUCAAAUUCAUGAUGUAGAAGCCUGAACUAGGGAUCAUGCAUCGCCUUAUUAACAGACAGAAGACUUACUUCGGUCAAGAAUAGAUGUCUUUUUCUCACUCUGCACAACAUUUGACCACUACUUCCAAUGAUAAUAUUCGUCGUGCCAUUUUGAUGAUAUGUUUAAUAUAAAGUGUUAAACAUCAACCCUGAUCAAUUUUAAGAAAUUAAACUACCACAAAGCAUAUAUACAUAUAGUUUGCAGCAGACAACGGCCAAUUGAAUAUGCAACUAACAAUGAGAGGUGCCGAGACAAUAUUUAAGAAAACUGCCUAAUACUAGAAUAACCUUCCAGAAAUCUGCAAUACUUAACUGCAAGUGGAACGAUAAACAGUAGUACGGCAUGGCACGAUGGCAUGCUCUCUUCAGAAUUUGUUACAAUAAUUAGUUCACUGGGUAUCAGAAUGAUCCAAAAUAAGCAGCAAUGUGAAAUGGCAUGGGUAUAAAGCCCAUAUAAGUGAAGGAAGUAUAGACCAAAUGAUCAGGUUAAUUUUAGUUGUCAGUCACUUACACAGACAGAUAUAUAUAAAUCACUAGAACCUGAUAGAUCCAUAACAACAAAAAACUAAUUAAAGGCAAUGUAGCAUGUGUAAAAUUAAAACGAAACUAUGAAUCAUAAAAAAGGAUGUAUUUCAUUCUGCUACCACUUAACAUGACACCAUCAUAAUCUAUGACCGAGUAGGAACAAAAUUUUGCACAAAAGGGGGAAGGGUAUCAAGUCAUCAGUAAUCUGAGGAGCUAGAAGGGAGAAAAACCAGCACUACUAGAGGGGACUUGGGUAGUACUAAGGAGGAGGUAAACUGAAAGCAAGGCAGCUGGAUGGAAGGGAGAGGCAAGCGAAGAGCAUAUCUAGUAGAGGAGCUUAAAACAUCAGCAAAUAAAAGAGAAUGUAAGUGGGUGAAGGCAUGAGGAAGAGAAUGGAGAGCUGCUGAGGAAGGGAUGAUGAGAAGUGGCCAGGUGGGAAACAGUUAAGCAAAAGAUUGUAGAGAAAAACAUACAACCCUCCCUUGCAAUUUAGUACUUGAGAAUGGCAGUAAAAAGCGAAAAAAUACAUGUUUUUGAAAGAACAGUUCAGAACUUCAGAUACCUCAACAUACAUUCAGAAGAUAAGCUUUCCUGCUCAACCAGUAUAUCAUUGAUUCAGCAUAUUUUGAUCAGCUCCAUCAUGUCCACCACCAAUGCUUGUUUCUGCAAUCAUAAGAAGUCAAAUAACCUGACGGAAAGCUAAAGAGAUACAAGGAGGCAUCAACACAACAUUUACAUAACUCACAAAUGUAAUCUGGAAAAAAACUAACUGAGUUCUGAUACAACAUUACAAAGAAAAACAAAACCAUACAGCCUGUCAAAUUGAAAGAAUAUUCCGAUGCAGUUGUUUUCAACAUGAGAAAGACCUGCACCACAGCACUAACACUACCGACAUACAAUUCUUAUAUAUCAAAGGCAAACUAUGAAAUUUAGUUCAACUGUUACAGAAAGAAUUUACCAAUCUCGGUGUUCAUUAUUUUAUUCAAUAGAUAUUCAUAUAAUAAAAUGAUAAAGACAGUUUGCUAUGUCUGACUUGAAGCACAUAGUUCAACGAAUAACAAUAUGUUUUGAUAACAUAAGAAACUCAUCGCUACAUAUUUGUUGACAAACAAGAUAACAAUGAAGUGAUGACAUAAAAGGCAUAAAGGACACUAGCAGAUUGGCUACCAGUAACAUAUGUGAAUUCAGACCAUGACCAUCAAAUAAUGCUACCACACAAGCAGUCAAGUAUCAUAACAGAAACACUACAGAACAAAUUCGCCAUAUGUUGAAGAGGUCAUCAAGGAUCAAAAGAAACAAGUAAUAUGCCACUACUUAAAAUGGUUAGCUUAACACAACAGAAUGUGAACAGCAUAUUCCAUCAAAUAAUUAUCGAAAAUCAACAUGAAUUUGUUAUGACCAGAGUUUGAAGACAUGGUAUUACCUGAAGCAUAGACACUUUCUAAUGGAUAACAGAUAUCACAGUUACUGUUUUCAGGAAGUUUACUGAACUGCAAUGACUCAAGCUGGACCAUGAAGAUACUGUCAAAUGUCCGCAAGAAAGCCACAUUAUUUUCCUCAGCAUAAGCUACCAUCGGUGUGUGCCUUAUCUGCUCUGAAUUCAAGGGAAGUAGCUUGUCCAUUUCAAAAGUCCGUCCUAGCACCCAUGAAGCAACACCAUCACAGUCCUUAUUCCUCUUCCAUAACUCGGCGGCGAAUCCUGUCAGGGAGAGUACGCCCAGCCCGCCACCCUCUGCUCGCAUAGCCAUCAAGAAUUGAUCUUUGGCAAAGGUAUCCAUUGGCAGACCUAACACAGCUAGGCUCUGGCUAUCCAAAUCAACCUCAAGAAUUACACUUGUACUAUCCCCAGGGAGCAAGAUGUAAAGAGAAUCCCCGACCAGCACAGGGGGCAUGCUUUCGUAUUCCAUGGCCUCACGUGGAACCGGUGUUUCGAUGAGAUUACUCCACACACCGGUCUCCGACGAGUAAAUGGCGGCGAUCGCUCGUGCAUAUUUCUUCUUGUAGUUUACCAAUACCACCUGGAAGUGCUGGGCGUCGGCGGCAGCGCGAAGCACCUGGCCGUCCAUCAGGGUAGUGGCCAUGUCGAUUCCUAGGGGAGCAGCAACGCGGUGCUGGUCGCCGGUGACGGGGUCCCACACCAGGACCUGGUUCCGCAACGAGUGGGAGAUGAGCACGAGGCCGUGGCGGCAGCUGAGGAUACUGUACCUGUCAUUGAGAUUCAAGGAGAAGCGCCCGGCGGGGACACGAUCGGGGGCCUCCAUGGCAGGCGUGUAGGAGAUGCCUGGAUAGUCGCUGCGGAAGAAACCGAGGAGCGGAGGGCUGCGGCGGUGGUGUUGGCGGUAGCGGCGGAGGAAGCCGGGGUCGGAUACGAGGCGGCGCCAGCGCUUGCAGACGGCGGAGGCGCGGGGGAGGGAGGACGGCUGCGGCGGGAGGCGGAGGAGGACCUCGGAGAGCAGAUCCUCGUCUUGCAGGGGCGAGCGCGAGCGGGGGCGGUGGUGGAGGGCGGCCGCCAUGGCGCUUACAGGGAAGAAGGCGGCGGCGGCGCAGUCUAGGGCGUCCACAGAUGGGGGAAAUGACGCUGCGAGUGACGAUUGAAGCCCAAAACCACCUUUUUUUUAGAAAAAAACAUCAAAAUGAGGCUGCAGUGCCUUUUUAAGAAAAAGAGACUACGUAUUUUUUUUAGAAAACCAAAAAAUAGUUCUAUUUAUUAGUAUUUUUGAAUGUAUACAGUACAAUCACAUAGGCUCAAAUAUACUCGGCGUCUGCUCCAACGUCGGCGAGGAGCUUGCAGGUAGCUGAGGAGUGGAUGCAGAUUGUGGCCUGCAUCAAGGACAUCUAGAAGACAGAACGUGUGUUGGACUCAGAGACGUCCUGCUGUCUUUUCAUUUUUAUCAUGUCGGUCUCUAUGUGAUUUGUAUUUUAAUCUCUAUGAUAUAAAUGACACACAUAUUAUCAUAAAAAAGAAUACUCGGCCAUAUGAAUGCAGGCACACCCUAUCCCUAUUUAAUAAUGUUAAACAUUGACUAUCUGAAUAAUGCUAGACCUAUGUAAGAUUGAGGCUAGCGACCAGGAAGUAGGAACCCUAACUAGCCACCAGUGUCAAGAGAGCCAACAACUUCCGGCAGCGUCUUCCCACUAAUAGGAAAAGGGGCAUUUACGCCGGUUUGUAAGGAACUUUUGUCCCGGUUUUCGAACCGGGACUAAAGGGUGGUUACUAAAACCCUAACCCUUUAGUCCCGGUUCUUACACGAACCGGGACAGAAGGUCCUCCACGUGGGCCCUGCUGCCAGCCCAGGCAGGGGGGCCUUUGGUCCCGGUUGGUGCCACCAACCGGGACCAAUAGGCAGGGCAUUUUGUCCCGGUUGGUGCCACCAACCAGGACCAAUAGGCAUCCACGCGUCAGCACCUGGCAGGAGCUGAGGUUUUUUUUGAAAGGGGGUGGUUUAGGGGUUUUGGGGGGUUAAUUUAGGUGUUUCAUAUAUUGUGUUAGCUAGCUAAUUAAUAGAGAGAAGUGUCCUCUCUUAUCUCCGUGCUUGGUCGAUGCUACCUACUAUAUACGUAUGGAGAGGACUAGACACGCUAGCUAGUAAUCAAAUGAAGGAAACAGAAGAACGUCAUGAACAUAUGCAUACAAAGAGAAGUGAUAUCGACCACCUCUCCUUCUCCGAGAGAUUGGUCGAACAACAAGUUCUCGUAUAUCUAUCCGACACUACCGGCUACAUAUAUACAAUAAUUAUCUCUUACAAUACAAUCUCCUAAUUAAAUUGUAGGAACACAGGGUCCACAUAGUAUUCUCCGUUUUCAUCGAUCACGUGGUCAAGGAAGAAUGCCGCCAAUUCCUGUUGAAUUCCUCGCAUACGAUCUGGUGCUAGGAGUUCAUCCCGCUUCCGAAACAUCUAAUUUGAAGAAGGGGGUCAAUACAUAUAUAUAUGAAUAAAUGAAACUCAACACAAAUGAUGGUAAUAAAAUAAAAUUGUGAAUAUUAUUGCUUACGCACUUCAUAUUGUUCUUCAGUGUAGCCCCGCUCACAGGUCGUGUAGCGGAUGGACUCGCAAACGUAGUAUCCACAGUAAUUAUUCCCGGCUUCCUGCCACAACCACUUUACAAGAAAUAGAGGUCAGUCAAACUGAUAAGUAAGCAUGCUAAAUGGUAUUGAUGAAACUAGUGCUUGAAUCACUAGGAGAUGCGCGGAACAUGCUACUAUAGUACUUACUUUCGGGUGUUUAAAUUGCAGCUUCUUCGGCAGUCCCGGAGCUUUUGUGCUGAAUUUUCUCCAAACCUUGCCAGAUAAAGAAAACAAUUACUUGAUAUCAGGAAAUGAACAAAGUUGCUGAUAUGGUGGAUAAUAAUCGAUUUAACUUACUUCUCGAGCAUUUGAGUCAUGUUCGCAUAGUCCUGGGGAUCUUUUCUUCUCGAGUCUAAGACGGUUACUAAUCCCUGCUCAAGCUUAAUCUCUAGGAGAAUACAGUGGAAGCUGCGCAUGCAUGCAUAAGUCAUCAAUUACAUUACCAUAACCUGGACUAAUAAGGGAAACCGAAUAUGCACAAGACAGUAACACUCACUUGAAGUUGUGAGGAAAGAGUAUUAUAUCUUUGUUUUGAUUUAAUACCAACGAUCGUAGCAAGUUGGCCUCAGCUUCUUUGGGAUGUUUUUCAACCGUAUAUGCAUCUAUGAGAUUUGUGUUAAUGAACCCAAUAUCACCGAUUUGUCUUUUCUUCAAUUCGGCGAUCUUCGAUCUGCAUAAUAUAGUGAGGAUAAUUAUAAAUACAUGCAAUGAAAGAGUUGACCUAUAUAGAGAGACUUAAUGACAGAAGUAGUACUACUUACACACAGUAGCAAGUGAUCAUUGUUUUAUCGAGGGCCUUUUGAUUGUAAAACUGAAAGAAAUCCUCAAAUGGAACAUUCAGCAGAUCAAUUCCAAUGAGGUCAUGCUCCGGUUUAACUCUCAGCGUCAAAGUAUUCAUCCCAUCAGACUCUCUGCAGGUUUUCAUGUACCAAUCAUGUAGUCUUCGCAUCAUCGUUGUUAGAGAUCUUUCAUCUUUGACGAGAGGCUUCCCGUAAUGGUAUUUGUGUUCGUCGACCUCCAUGAUUUCGUAAUGUACAUCGUCGGGCAGGUAAUCUCCAAGAUUGCUAUAACCGGCCACCAUCCUCGGAUCAUUAGCGACGAUGUCUUUUGACACCUUGAGUGGGGGGCACGAUUGGUUCGCUUGUUCGCCGAGCUAGGCAAUUUUUUUCCCAGCUCGUCGUUCUUUUAACCUCUUAUCACUGACAGUACUUCCCGACCGCUCCGCUUCGGCAUAUGUCUUUGCAAGAAUGCGCUCAUAGUUGCCUCUCAGCGGAGACUUGGGUGGUUUUGUCAGGGCAGCCAGAGUGCGCUUUGCUUUCACCGGAUCUACCUUCUCCUCCGGAGGUGGAUGUUUCUUUGCUUUCACCCCUUCAAAGAAGUUUGUCACUUCGGCUCGCACGAUCUCCCUGGUUUCCUCCUCGGUCCUCUCGUAUGGUAACUUCUCUGGAGUCUUCAGAGAAGGACCGAAUCUGUAUUGCCUCCCGCCUCUGGCAGCUGUACUGCUAGACGCCGGCAGAGCAGACAGAGCGGCUGCGGCUGUCUUCUUUCCUUGCUUACGAGGCGGAGGAGAAGGACUACGACGCGCCGGAGCAGCCGGAGCGGCGGCGGGUCUCUUCCGCCCUUGCUGACGAGGCGGAGAAGGAGGAGGCUGGCUGCUCUGGCGCGCCGGCACAGGCGGAGAAGGAGGCGGAGUGCCGCCACGCGCCGGAGAAGGAGGCUGAGUGCCCUGAUCACUCGCCGGAGGAGGAGGCGGAGGAGGAGGCGGAGUGCCGCCACGCGCCGGAGAAGGAGGCUGAUCAGUGCCCUGAUCACUCGCCGGAGGAGGAGGCGGAGGAGGAAGCGGAGUGCCCUUACUCGCCGGAGCCGUCCAGUUCGAAAGGUUGAUCAGCUCCUUCCGCCAUAGGCAUGGAGUCUUCAGAGCUGAACCCAGCCGAGUCUCCCCUUCAUCGGUAGGGUGGUCAAGCUGGAGGUCCUCAAAUCCCUCCGUUAUUUCAUCCACCAUCACCUUAGCAUAUCCUUCUGGAAUCGGCCGGCAGUGGUAGGUUGCGCCGGGUUCAGGAGGUAAAACAGAGCCAACAGCCGCCUUGACUUUGAAGUUCUGCCAUUGCGCCAUAAGGUGGCAAUGUUGAGACUCCGUGAUAGCAUCCACGGGGUAGCUAGCAGGAGCCGUCAAGACAUGCUCCGGCUGAAGCAGCUCGGUGGAAGCCACGCUGCUUCUCCGCUGAGAUGGCGGUGUAGCUGAGGGGGUAGUUUCGGCAUGUCGAUUGCCGUCUCGUUCCUCUAGCGCUUGAACCCUUUCGUGCAGCUUCUGAAUUUGGAUCUGCUCCACUUUUUUCCUCCUCUCCUGGCUUUUGUAACCGCCCACGUCCGGAAAACCAUCCUUCCACGGAACGGAGCCUGGCGUGCCUCGUGUCCGUCCAGGGUGCUCAGGAUUCCCGAGGGCCAUUGUGAGCUCGUCCUUCUCUCUGUCGGGAACGAACGUCCCUUCCUGCGCUGCAUCGAUAUAUUGCUGAAUCUUCUUGACUGGUAUUCUCAAAAGCUCAUUCGUCCAAACGCACCUCCCUGAUACAGGGUCCAAGGUUCCGCCAGCCCCGAAGAACCAAGUCCGGCAACUGUCCGUCCAGUUCAUUGUCUGUGGUUCGAUCCCUUUUUCAAGCAGAUCAUUCUCAGCCUUGGCCCACUUAGGCCGGGCUUUGAGGUAGCCACCUGACCCCGUGCGAUGGUGAAGCUUCUUCUUCGCAACAUUCUUCUUGUUUGUAGCUGACAUCUUCUUACUCUUUUCCGAUGUCUUGUGGGCCACAAAUGCGGGCCAGUGAUCUCUGAUCUUCUCAUACCGGCCGAUGAAUUCUGGUGUCUCUUCUUUGUCGACAAACGUUUUCAGCUCAUUCUUCCACCUCCUGAAUAGGUCGGCCAUCUUCUUAAGAGCAUGAGACUUGAUUAAUUGCUCUUUAACUGGCUUCUCCGGAUCCUCCUCUGACGGUAGGGUGAAAUUUGCCUUCAGCUCAGUCCAACGAUCAUCUUUCUGCAUAUCAUUGACAUAAGACACCUCAGGGUCUUCCUUCUUAGGCUUAUACCAUUGCUGGAUGCUGAUCGGGAUCUUGUCCCUAACUAGAACCCCGCACUGAGCAGCAAAUGCAUCCUUUGUCCGGAGGGGUUAAAUCGGUUGGCCAUCGCGCGCGAUUGCUGUGAUCUCAAACCUUUCAUCCGAGCGCAACUUUCUCUUCGGGCCUCGUCUCUUUACCGAAGUUGUGCUCGAUCCGGAGGGCUAGAAAAAAGAAGAAAGACGAGUGUUAAUUAAUAUGUGUACAUACCAAAACAAUGAAUGCAUCAAUUAGCUAGUCAGCACAGGCUUAACUAAUAUAUUUACCUGGCCGGACUCUGUUCGGUCAUCGGAGCCGUCACCACGGGCUCCUUCUUGCACCAGCAUUGGGUCACCGGAGCCAUCAUAAUCAUGUCUUUCCUCCUCCACUCUUCGAUCACCGUAGCCUGCUUCUUCACCCUGUUCUUCCAGACCAUCAUUGUCGUUAAGAUACGACAAGAUAUCACCUCCGGCUAAGAUUAUGUCCCCCAACACCUCUUCUGCUUGCUCGUCUCGUCCGUGCUCCAUUGUUUCUGCAAAUAUUACAACAUGGCAAUUAUUACACAAACAUGACAGCAGGUGGAUAUAUUAGUGCAAACGUAGUCCUAGCUUAUUCCGGGUUUGGGGUGGCCUCGGCAACGCUUCAAGGGUAGGGGCGCAGCGGGAGGGGGUAGGAGACCGACAUCCUUUUUUUCUAGGGUUUGGGUGUCCUCGUGAGUUUUGGUCGAGCGAGACGGCCGGGGGGUGCUCCCGUGGUAUAAGUUAUCACGCUCGAGAGGGGGUAUAAAUAUCGACCGUCCAUCAUGUCGAAGUUAUCUGGGAGGGAGUUAUAUAUAUCGACAACGACGACAUACAUACAUGGGAAAAUAAUGUUAUCGGGGAGGGGGUAUAUCGACCCCCCCCCCACGUGUUGAAGUUAUCGGGAGGGGGUUAUAUCGACAACGACAAUGAACGUACAUGGGAAAAUAAUAUUAUCGGNNNNNNNNNNNNNNNNNNNNNNNNNNNNNNNNNNNNNNNNNNNNNNNNNNNNNNNNNNNNNNNNNNNNNNNNNNNNNNNNNNNNNNNNNNNNNNNNNNNNNNNGGUAUAUCGACCUCCCCACGUGUUGAAGUUAUCGCGAGGGGGUUAUAUCGACAACGACAAUGAACGUACAUGGGAAAAUAAUAUUAUCGGGGAGGGGGUAUAUCGACCCCCCCUCGUGUUGAAGUUAUCGGGAGAGGGGUACGUAUAUCGACGACGACAGACCCGAUAAAAUAUAAGAAAACGUAGAAGAAACAAGAAGAGGAGAAGAAGAAAGGAAUAGAGGAGAAGAUCGAAGAAAAAAAAGAAGAAAAAAAAGAGGAGAAGAAGAAAGGAAUAGAGGAUAGAAGAAGAAAAAAAUAGAAUUUUUUCUAUUUUUUCUUCUUCUCUUCUAUUCCUUUCUUCUUCUCCUCUUCUUUUUCUUCUUUUUUCCUCUUCUUAUUUAUUUCUCCUCUUCUUCCUCUCCUCUUCUUCUCCUUUCUUCCUAUUUCAUCAUUGUUCAUAUUUCAUCAUGUUCAUAUUUCGAAAAAAAGUAAAGGUUUUGCCUAAUGCAUUGUUCAUAUUUCAUCAUGUUCUAUGAACAAAAAAGCAUCAUAUUUCAUCCACAUCCAUGCAUACAUCAUAUAUGUGAUNNNNNNNNNNNNNNNNNNNNNNNNNNNNNNNNNNNNNNNNNNNNNNNNNNNNNNNNNNNNNNNNNNNNNNNNNNNNNNNNNNNNNNNNNNNNNNNNNNNNNNNNNNNNNNNNNNNNNNNNNNNNNNNNNNNNNNNNNNNNNNNNNNNNNNNNNNNNNNNNNNNNNNNNNNNNNNNNNNNNNNNNNNNNNNNNNNNNNNNNNNNNNNNNNNNNNNNNNNNNNNNNNNNNNNNNNNNNNNNNNNNNNNNNNNNNNNNNNNNNNNNNNNNNNNNNNNNNNNNNNNNNNNNNNNNNNNNNNNNNNNNNNNNNNNNNNNNNNNNNNNNNNNNNNNNNNNNNNNNNNNNNNNNNNNNNNNNNNNNNNNNNNNNNNNNNNNNNNNNNNNNNNNNNNNNNNNNNNNNNNNNNNNNNNNNNNNNNNNNNNNNNNNNNNNNNNNNNNNNNNNNNNNNNNNNNNNNNNNNNNNNNNNNNNNNNNNNNNNNNNNNNNNNNNNNNNNNNNNNNNNNNNNNNNNNNNNNNNNNNNNNNNNNNNNNNNNNNNNNNNNNNNNNNNNNNNNNNNNNNNNNNNNNNNNNNNNNNNNNNNNNNNNNNNNNNNNNNNNNNNNNNNNNNNNNNNNNNNNNNNNNNNNNNNNNNNNNNNNNNNNNNNNNNNNNNNNNNNNNNNNNNNNNNNNNNNNNNNNNNNNNNNNNNNNNNNNNNNNNNNNNNNNNNNNNNNNNNNNNNNNNNNNNNNNNNNNNNNNNNNNNNNNNNNNNNNNNNNNNNNNNNNNNNNNNNNNNNNNNNNNNNNNNNNNNNNNNNNNNNNNNNNNNNNNNNNNNNNNNNNNNNNNNNNNNNNNNNNNNNNNNNNNNNNNNNNNNNNNNNNNNNNNNNNNNNNNNNNNNNNNNNNNNNNNNNNNNNNNNNNNNNNNNNNNNNNNNNNNNNNNNNNNNNNNNNNNNNNNNNNNNNNNNNNNNNNNNNNNNNNNNNNNNNNNNNNNNNNNNNNNNNNNNNNNNNNNNNNNNNNNNNNNNNNNNNNNNNNNNNNNNNNNNNNNNNNNNNNNNNNNNNNNNNUCCCGGUUGGUAGCACCAACCGGGACCAAAGGCCUCUUGCUGCCCGCGUCGCGGCCAAAAGUUUAGUCCCACCUCGCUAGCCGAGGGGCGCCCGUACCAGUUUAAAAGCCCCGGCGCGGCUGCUGUCUCGGACUCCUCUAGAAGGCUUCUGGGCCUAACUUUGGCGCGCUGCCCGUUGAGCCCUCUAGCCCUUCUGGGCCUGUAUUUGCAAACCCGAGGGUUGGAGGGCCCAGCGGGCAGCGCCCCGACAAUUUUUUUUGCUGUAUUUAGUUUUUUUGUUUUCUAUUUUGCUUUAUUUAUUUUGUUUUGUUUCUACUUACAACAAAAAACUUAUUUAUUUUAUUUUAUUUUGUUUCUAAUUACUUAUUUAUUUUACUUUAUGAUAAUUCUUUUUGCUAUUAAAGUUUCUAUCAAAAAAAGUUCUUUAUGAAAAUUCUUUUUGCUGUAUUUAGUUUUUUUGUUUUGUUUGUACUUACAACAAAAAACUUAUUUAUUUUAUUUUAUUUUGUUUCUAAUUACUUAUUUAUUGUACUUUAUGAUAAUUCUUUUUGCUAUUAAAGUUUCUAUCAAAAAAAGUUCUUUAUGAAAAUUCUUUUUGCUUUUAAUGAUUUUGAAUAGAAAAUACUUCGAUAAUUUUAGUUGCAUCAAUUUUAUAUGAUUUUAGUUUCAAUAAUACUAGAGGUUUCUUAUAAUGUUUUGAACAGAAAAUACUAUGUUAAUUGUACUUUCAUAAAUUUUAUUAAAGUUUAUUUUAUUUUGUCAUAACACUAGAAGUCCGGAGUUGUAAUAAGUUACUAAAAAUAAAAAAGAGGCGCAAUGCUCGUUGAUUUGCUUCAAGCCUUUCGGAAUAGUGUAGACUGCACUGCACAUAGCUCCAUGCAGUCUACCUUAUUCCUCAAGGCUUGAAGCUAAGCAACGUGAAGGUGAGCAUUGCACCUCUUCUUCAUCGUCUCUGCACUCAGGGCUUAUAAACCGCUCCUAGUGCCUCUCAGCUAGCGAGGUGGGACUAAAAAACUGCUUAGUAAGAAACUCUAGUACCGGUUCGUGCCACGAACCGAUACUAAAGGUGCUCGUGGGGCCACAGCCUCAUCAGUACCGGUUCGUGGCACCAACCAGGACCAAAGGGUGGAAUUGGUCCCGGUUCGUGCCACCAACCGGGACCAAUGGCCUUGCACAGCGGCGUGGUGGUGGGAGUUUAGUCCCACCUCGCUAGCUGAGAGAGAGCCGCACCUGUUUAUAAUUUUUAAUUUUUGGCCUGUUAUUUUUCAUGCAUUUACUAAUUAUUUUGAGCUAUAAGACCCUAAAAUUGAAAAACAUUUCAAAUGAACUCUGAAAAGGUUGAAAGUUGGCAUGGUAUCAUCAUUUCAUGCACAUACCAUGUACAAGAAAGUUGAGAGGGUUACGGCAAAAACUGGAUGCACUUCGUGUACAAAACGGACAAUGGUAUCAUACUCGUCUGUUACAAAGUUGGCAUGGUAUCAUCAUAAUAGUUGCGGGAGAAAGUCUUCACUUUUUCUUCUCUUGUGUCAUUUGCUUAUUGCGCCGUAACCAUGGAUAAUCUUCAUCGUUUAUCAGGAUGCUUGAGUCAGCCUUGACUUUGAAGGGAGGAAUUUCAUGAAACUUUUCAUAAUCUUCAGACAUGUCAGUCUUGCCCUCCACUCCCACAAUGUCCCUUUUUCCUGAAAGAACGAUGUGGCGCUUUGGCUCAUCGUAUGAUGUAUUCGCUUCCUUAUCUUUUCUUUUUCUCGGUCUGGUAGACAUGUCCUUCACAUAGAUAACCUGUGCCACAUCAUUGGCUAGGACGAACGGUUCGUCAGUGUACCCAUGAUUGUUCAGAUCCACUGUUGUCAUUUCGUACUGUGGGUCUACCUGUACCCCGCCUCCUGACAGAUUGACCCAUUUGCACUUAAACAAAGGGACCUUAAAAUCAUGUCCGUAGUCAAGUUCCCAUAUGUCCAUUAUGUAACCAUAAUAUGUGUCCUUUCCCCUCUCGGUUGCUGCAUCAAAGCGGACACUGCUGUUUUGGUUGGUGCUCUUUUGAUCUUGGGAGAUCGUGUAAAAUGUAUUCCCAUUUAUCUCGUAUCCGUUGUAAAUCAAUACAGUCGAAGAUGGUCCCCUGGACAACGAGUACAACUCAUCACAAACAGUGGUGUCACCUCUGAGACGUGUUUCCAACCAACUGCUGAAUGUCCUGAUGUGUUCACAUGUAAUCCAGUCGUCACACUGCUCCGGGUGUUUGGAGCGCAGACUGUUCUUGUGUUCAUCGACAUACGGGGUCACCAAGGUAGAGUUCUGUAGAACUGUGUAGUGUGCUUGAGACCAAGAAUAUCCGUCCCUGCAUAUUAUUGAGUCCCCUCCAAGCGUGCCUUUUCCAGCCAGUCUCCCCUCAUACCGCGAUUUAGGGAGACCUAUCUUCUUAAGGCCAGGAAUGAAGUCAACACAAAACCCAAUGACAUCCUUUGUUUGAUGGCCCAUGGAGAUGCUUCCUUCUGGCCUAGCGCGGUUACGGGCAUAUUUCUUUAGGACUCCCAUGAACCUCUCAAAGGGGAACAUAUUGUGUAGAAAUACGGGCCCCAGAAUGACAAUCUCGUCGACUAGAUGAACUAGGACGUGCGUCAUGAUAUUGAAGAAGGAUGGUGGGAACACCAGCUCCAAGCUGACAAGACAUUGCGCCACAUCACUCCUUAGCCUUGGUAUGAUUUCUGGAUCGAUCACCUUCUGAGAGAUUGCAUUGAGGAAUGCACAUAGCUUCACAAUGGCUAAUCGGACGUUUUCCAGUAGAAGCCCCCUCAAUGCAACCGGAAGUAGUUGCGUCAUAAUCACGUGGCAGUCAUGAGACUUUAGGUUCUGGAACUUUUUCUCUGGCAUAUUUAUUAUUCCCUUUAUAUUCGAUGAGAAGCCAGUCGGGACCUUCAUACUGAGCAGGCAUUCAAAGAAGAUUUCUUUCUCUUCUUUCGUAAGAGCGUAGCUGGCAGGACCUUCAUACUACUUCGGAGGCAUGCCGUCUUUUUCGUGCAAACGUUGCAGGUCCUCCCGUGCCUCAGGUGUAUCUUUUGUCUUCCCAUACACGCCCAAGAAGCCUAGUAGGUUCACGCAAAGGUUCUUCGUCACGUGCAUCACGUCGAUUGAAGAGCGGACCUCUAGCUCUUUCCAGCAGGGUAGGUCCCAAAAUAUAGAUUUCUUCUUCCACGUGGGUGCGUGUCCCUCAGCGUCAUUCGGAACAGCUGGUCCGCCGGGACCCUUUCCAAAGAUUACGUGUAAAUCAUUGACCAUAGCAAGUACGUGAUCACCGGUAUGCAUGGCGGGCUUCUUACGGUGAUCUGCCUCGCCUUUGAAAUGCUUGCCUUUCUUUCGACAUUGAUGGUUGGUCGGAAGAAAUCGGCGAUGGCCCAGGUACACAUUCUUCCUGCAUUUGUCCAGGUAUAUACUUUCAGUGUCAUCUAAACAGUGUGUGCAUGCGUGGUAUCCCUUGUUUGUCUGUCCUGAAAGGUUACUGAGAGCGGGCCAAUCGUUGAUGGUUACAAACAGCAACGCGUGCAGGUUAAAUUCCUCCUGUUUGUGCUCAUCCCACGUACGUACACCGUUUCCAUUCCACAGCUGUAAAAGUUCUUCAACUAAUGGCCUUAGGUACACAUCAAUGUUGUUGCCGGGUUGCUUAGGGCCUUGGAUGAGAACUGGCAUCAUAAUGAACUUCCGCUUCAUGCACAUCCAAGGAGGAAGGUUAUACAUACAUAGAGUCACGGGCCAGGUGCUGUGAUUGCUGCUCUGCUCCCCGAAAGGAUUAAUGCCAUCCGCGCUUAAACCAAACCAUACGUUCCUUGGGUCAGCUGCAAACUCAGCCCAGUACUUUCUCUCGAUUUUUCUCCACUGCGACCCGUCAGCGGGUGCUCUCAACUUCCCGUCUUUCUUACGGUCCUCACUGUGCCAUCGCAUCAACUUGGCAUGCUCUUCGUUUCUGAACAGACGUUUCAACCAUGGUAUUAUAGGAGCAUACCACAUCACCUUCGCAGGAACCCUCUUCCUGGGGGGCUCGCCAUCAACAUCACCAGGGUCAUCUCGUCUGAUCUUAUACCGCAAUGGACCGCAUACCGGGCAUGCGUUCAGAUCCUUGUACGCACCGCGGUAGAGGAUGCAGUCAUUAGGGCAUGCAUGUAUCUUCUGCACCUCCACUCCAAGAGGGCAUACGACCUUCUUUGCUGCGUAUGUACUGUCGGGCAAUUCGUUAUCCUUUGGAAGCUUCUUCUUCAAUAUUUUCAAUAGCUUCUCAAAUCCUUUGUCAGGCACAACAUUCUCUGCCUUCCACUGCAGCAAUUCCAGUACGGUACCGAGCUUUGUAUUGCCAUCUUCGCAAUUGGGGUACAACCCUUUUUUGUGAUCCUCUAACAUGCGAUCGAACUUCAGCUUCUCCUUUUGACUUUCGCAUUGCGUCCUUGCAUCGACUAUGACCCGGCGGAGAUCAUCAUCAUCGGGCACUGGUUCCUCUUGACCUUCAGCAGCUUCCCCCCUUGCAGCAUCAUUGGGCACAUCGUCUGGUUCCUCUUGAUCUUCAGCAGCUUCCCCCGUUGCAGCAUCACCGUAUUCAGGGGGCACAUAGUUGUCAUCGUCCUCUUCUUCUUCGCCGUCUUCCAUCAUAACCCCUAUUUCUCCGUGCCUCGUCCAAACAUUAUUGUGUGGCAUGAAACCCUUGUAAAGCAGGUGGGUGUGAAGGAUUUUCCGGUCAGAGUAAGACUUCGUAUUCCCACAUAUAGGGCAUGGACAACACAUAAAACCAUUCUGCUUGUUUGCCUCAGCCACUUCGAGAAAAUCAUUCACGCCCUUAAUGUACUCGGAGGUGUGUCUGUCACCGUACAUCCAUUGCCGGUUCAUGUGCGUGCAUUAUAUAUAAUUAAGUGUGUCAAAAACCAUUACAGAACAUCAUGAAUAGAUAAUUAAGUGACCAAAUUAAUAGAAGUUCAUCAUCACAUUAAAACCAAAGUACAUACAUAGUUCUCAUCUAACAACAUAUAUAUAGCUCUCUAGAGCAUCUAAUUAAUUAAACCAUACAUUGAAACUAUGUAAAACAUUUCAAUGCGAAAACAAAUGCGAUCAUAAUCGCAACCAAGGUAACAAUUGAUCCAACGGCAUAAUGAUACCAAGCCUCGGUAUGAAUGACAUAUUUUCUAAUCUUUCUAAUCUUCAAGCGCAUUGCAUCCAUCUUGAUCUUGUAAUCAUCGACGACAUCCGCAACAUGCAACUCCAAUAUCAUCUUCUCCUCCUCAAUUCUUUUUAUUUUUUCCUUAAAGUAAUUGUUUUCUUCUUCAACUAAAUUUAACCUCUCGACAAUAGGGUCGGUUAGAAUUUCCGGUUCAACCACCUCCUAGAUAAAUAAAAUCUAUGUCACGUUGGUCGGUAUAUUUGUCAUAAACAAUAAUGAACCAAAUAGUUAUAAAAAGAUAAUAUAUACCACAUCCGAAUCAUAGACAGGAUGAGGGCCAACGGGGGCGGAUACCAAAACCAUCGCACUAUGUAAUAAGAAGGAAUAAUAAAAGUAACAAAAUUAGACAAGUAACUAUCUAAAGUAAGAAUUUUUCCUUUCAGAAAGAAGAUAAGAACAAGAGGCUCACCACGGUGGUGCUGGCGACGAGAUCGGCGCAGGCGAUCGACGGCGGUGAAGACGGGGACGGGACGUGACGGACCGCUAAACCUAGACAAAUCUCUGGAAAAAUGGAGCUCGGAGGUCGAGUUUCGAGAGGAGAAAGAUUAACUAGUGUGGCUCAGACAUUUCAUCGAACACCUCAUGUGCAUAGGAGGUGAGCUAGAGCACCCAAAUGCCCUCCCCUCGCCGGCAAGAAAAAACAGAGCACUCUGGAGUGCUCUGCUGUGGCGAUGGGGUAUAUAUAGGCAACUCAUUGUUCCCGGUUCGUGGCACCAACCGGGACUAAAGGCCUUUGGUCCCGGUUGGUGCCACGAACCGGGACCAAUGCCCCCUUUAGUCCCGGUUGGUGGCACCAACCGGGACCAAAGGCCUUGUGCUGCCCCGCGUCAAAAGUUUAGUCCCACCUCGCUAGUUGAGAGAGCUCGAGAGUGGUUUAUAAGCGCUGCUGCGCCCACCCUCUCGAACUCCUCUCAACUGCAGGCUUUCGGGCCUAAUUGUUCUCUUUGCCUGUGGGGCCUACUGGGCCUUCUCCGGGCCUGAAUCCUGGCCCAUGUAUGGGUUUCUAGUCGUAUUCAGGCCGUGGUGGCCCAGUAGGUGGCAUAAUUUUUUUUCUCUGUUUUUUUCUCUUUUGCUUUAUUUGUUUUGUUUUGUUUCUACUUACAACAAAAAACUUAUUUAUUUUAUUUCUAAUUACUUAUGUAUUUUACUUUAAUUAUUUUAUUUUUAUUUAUUUUACUGCUGCUAUUUUGAUUUAAUUUAAUGCUGCUAUUUGUACUUAAUUUAUUAAGGUUUAUUUAUUUUAGUUAUUAUAGUUUAUUUUAUUUUAUUUUAUUAAGGUUUAUUUAUUUUUAUUUAUUUUAUUAAGGUUUAUUUAUUUUAUAAAUAUAAAAAAUGAACAUAGAUGCGCUUAUAGAGAAAAUUCAACCUAAAUUCAUAAUAAAUUUCUAUGAAAUUUACUAUGAAUUUAGGUCAAAUUCCCUGUAUAAGGGCAUCUAUUUUCACUUUAAGAGGAGUUCAACAAGGCAGAGAGGGACGGGCUUAUAAACUGGUGUGAGCGCCCUUCGCUUGGCGAUGUGGGACUAAACACUGGCCGCAACUAGGACCAGCCCUUUAGUCCCGGUUUGUGGUAUGAACCGGGACUAAAGGGCUGUGGGCCAGGAGCGUGGCCCAUUGGUCCCGGUUUGUCCCACCAACCGGGACCAAAGGGUCCGGACGAACCGGGACCAAUGCCCCCACGAGGCCCGGCAGGCCCCUGGCCGCACGAAUCGGGACCAAUGCUCACAUUAGUCCCGGUUCGUGACUGAACCGGGACUAAUGUGAAUAUUGCCCUGUGACCAAAGCCCAGUUUUCUACUAGUGUCCUGUGGCUCCCCUCUGCCGGCAACCUCUUGGUCGUCGGUGGUGAAGGGGGUCACGCAGAUCCCACGCAUGCGGAUCAUUUUAGCUUUAGUUCGUGUUAGAAGGGAGAGAGGGGUUUGGUGAAAUAGUUCGUUGUAUUGCUUGAGCCUCGUGGGCAUAUAUAUAGGAGUACAAUGAUUAACUUGGAGUACAAGACAAGGCAGGACCAAAUCCUAAUCUAUCCUAUACUUCCUAAUAAUCUUAUACUCAACAUCCCCCCGCAGUCACAACGGUAGCGAUGCAUACGGUGAGACUGGAGAAGAAUCCGAAGGCAAGCCGACGGACACCCCCCACAGUCGUAACGGUCGAUGCAUCGCGGAAGUCGUGGCCGGAGUGGUACCCGACGAGGUUGCUCAAGCAAGGCGGUAGCCCUUUGUGCUGUUUGUCGAAGUAGCCGAGAGCGGAGGUGGUGUAGCCGUGGUCGAGGUAGCUGUGUGAGAAACGCCGUUGUCGAUGUCGAGUCGGGGUGGCCAGUGUCGAGGUAGUCGCCGUGGACCGCGAAGAAGAGCGGCGGCGGCGGCUAGGAGUGUGGCGGCGAUGCUCGAAGUAGGCGAGGAAGAACCCGACAACGUGAUGAAGACCGGCGCGGACGGUUCUCGCGCCGAGGAGACGGCGCGGGGCAUACCACACAUGAGUCGACGCGCGUGGAUGGCGAAGUGGACCGCGUGCCGCGGCGCUACGGCCCGAAGGGGCGACGCAGCGGCAGCGCGCGAGUCAGGGCGACGGCGGGAAAGACCUCAGGGCGGCGGCGUUGACCGCGUGCCAUGCUCGCUACGACCCUAUGGGGCGAUGCAGCGGCAGCGCGAGGGUCGUUGCAGCCACGAAGACGGCCUAGCGCAGGCGGCCUCGGGCCGGCGAUGGACCGCGGGCCACGGCACUACGGCCCGAAGGGGCGACGCAGUGGCAGCUGGCGGAUCGGUGCAGCCACGAAAAGAACCACGGGACGGUGACAGAGACCACGCACCACGCUCGCUACAGUCCGACGAGGCGACGCAGCGGCAGCGCGAGGGUCGAUGCAACCACGGGGAUGACCUAUGGCGGCGACGGACGGCGGGCCGCGGCACUACGGUCCGAAGAGGCACGCAACGGCAGCGCGUGGGUUGAUGCAGCCGCGGGAAGAACCAUUGACGGCGACGCUGCGGUCCGAAGGGACCAGCCGAUUACUCGAUCGGCCGAGGGACAUUUAAACUUGACGUUGAUCUUCAAUUAAUCUUACGGAGACGUGCAUCGGGUGAUCCGCCCGGACGCGCGAUGAGCAAAAUUGAGAAGACACGGACGAGCGGUGAUGCAAAUCGACUACAGCCGUGUAGCACGUCCUUGUCCAAGACGUGCACCCGUGCAUGUGUCUUCAUGUGCAUGCACGUGAGCCAUGGCUCCUGGAUGCGUACGGCGGACGCCAGCUUAGCGGCAGCCACACUAGCGCAUGCGCGUGAGCGGCAGCGGCGCAGGCAGGACGUGCGAGGAGCCGCCGCGUCAAUACAGAUGACGCCACUGAAGCGGGGUGCCGUGCAGCAACCGAUUGAUCCGAUGUCGAAGUUGACACGCGCUGCAGAUGACGAACGGCGGCAGGUGACGCAAGCCGAUUUGAGAUCGGAAAACCAAAAAAGAAAAACGCUGAUUAAAAUGACUGGCGAGAGAGUGAAAAAACCCAGAGCAAGGGCUCGGGAAAGACUCCCUAGGGCAGCCGGUCAACACAACCGGCGGACGAACCCUAGGUACGGGCGGCGCGGCCCCGGCGGCGGUCAUGGAGGCCGACCGUCCCAGGGGCGGCGCGCGGGUGCGGAAGGCGGCUAGGGUUUAGAACCCGGAAACUGAUACCAUGUUAGAAGGGAGAGAGGGGUUUGGUGAAAUAGUUCGUUGUAUUGCUUGAGCCUCGUGGGCAUAUAUAUAGGAGUACAAUGAUUAACUUGGAGUACAAGACAAGGCAGGACCAAAUUCUAAUCUAUCCUAUAUUUCCUAAUAAUCUUAUACUCAACAGUUCGACGUCUUGGCUUAGGCAGCGGUGACGAUGACGUUGAAUAAAGAAACUCUGAAUUCUUCUACGGCGAGGCGAUCGUCUUUAUGGUUGGUGAUGUUUUGAGGAGUCAGUCUGUUCAAGUGCCUUGAGAUGGACAUGUGUCUUUGAGCUCCGCCGUUAGCUUCACUUUUGAUGAGCCACCUUAAAAGGUAAGGAUAAGAAGUGUCUCGAAGCUCGAGGUCAAAAAAUCCAUGUACACAACAUUAUUCCCCAGAAAGUACCUCGCAUGGAAUUUAGUAACUGAGAAAUGGUAGUAAAAAGGAACCAAUUUUUUUAACUGAGAAGUGUCGGGUAUGCCUUCAAGAGUAGUUCUUGUGGAAGACUAAUUCUCCACGGACAAGGAUUAAACAAUCGGUCUUAUAAACUCGAGUAUACAUACAACAUAAAUAAUAAGUCCAACAAUGUGUUGAGUAAAUAGGCAAUUUUUUGAUUAACUUAAUCCAUGAGUAAAUCACUAACAUGGGUAUAACGCUAGCAUGGUUAAAACAGAAAACAGAAGGAGCGGAAUAAACGAGUUAUACCCUCUAAUAGGCCAGGCAGAAGCCGCCACAGCGGUGGCGGCAGCGGCGUCCUCGGCGGCCUUCUUGUCGGCUUUAACCUUCUCAGCGGCGGCACGUUCGGCUUCGGUGAACAUGGUGAUGAUGAGGACGAGGCGGAUGUAGAGGAAGUAGACGAACAGUGAGCAGUCGCGUAGUCGCUUUCCAAAAACCUAUUCGCCCCUCUCCCGUACAGGAACCAGAGGGGCAGGGUUUCGAAGACCUGCUCUCCCGUCGAUCGUGUACGCGGCGGACAGGAUGGAGUCACCGGCGGUAGCAGCAGCAAAGGAAUGACGGUGGGCAGUGCGCAUCAGCAGAUGUGAUCUGUUCAUGGCGGCUAGGGUUAGGAGGCACUGCACACUUAUAUAGGCGCAGCCGCGUGGAGAGACGUGGGCUCGACCCACGUCCGAGUCCGUGACAGCCCACGAUCCGACGUCUCAGAUCGUGGCCCAGCUGUCAGAAACUAUCCGUUAGUGACUGGCAAAAAUAAGCGUGUAGGUGUGAGCUCGGCUCGGCUCAUUCCGGCAACCCGCAACCCGCGUCAUGACAUGGCGAGGUGGGCGGCGGAGGAGGAAUGCGCGAGGGCCUCUUCUAUUCUCAAGCUCCAAUAGCAUGUGGAAAACAAUCUCUUAUAAAGAGGUCCAACUCCUUCUCCACUAGCGGGGUGGGACUAAACUUCACACUACACCUAGUGCCAAUAACCCACAUGGGCCUUUAGAGAUUUUCAGAAAUUGCUAUAUGGGCCUAAAGCCCAUCCCAAAUUUCAGCACAACGCGAGGAUCCCGUCUUAGAGCAUCUACAACUAGAUUGUACAAAUUUUGACCUUUCAAAUAUCCACGAUUCGUUCAACGGCAAGGGCUUUAUUUUUGGUGAGUCACCUUAGCCGCAAAGUUGCAUAUCAGCGAUGGAGCCGCAUCGAGCUCGGGUGAGGAGGUGAUUCAUCAUUCUUUUCUUCGGUGGCUGCUGUAGUGGUGCCGGAGGUAGGUGACAUGCGUUGGUGUCAAACUCAGAGAUGUUCUGCUAUCUUUUCAGUUUUGUCAUGUCGGUCUUUACGCAACUUGUAUUUUAAUCUUUAUGAUAUGAAUGAGACACGUAUUACCAUGCAAAAAAGGUCCACGAACCGGGCAUGUUGUUUUGACCCCUAAGGGCAUGUACAAUGAUGCUAUCUUAGAAGUGCUACGUAGGAUAAAUAAUAAGGUGGAGAAGAGAGAACUCAUAAAAAAAGGUUUGUCCUAUCUUAUUACCGAAAAAGGCUUUGGCCCCGCUUUAUAUAUAAUGCAAUAACCAUCAACAAGCCGAUACAAACACACGCCAUCUCAACACACGCACACACUCAAGGCUAGAUACAUAGGCGUUGAGCGCAGCUACACCACCCCUAUCGCUACAAGAGCUACCAGGGUUCUCAACCGUGAACACCAUCGCGAAGAGACGAAGCCGCAUACGACGAACCAUGAGCUCCAAGGCGGCGCCUUCAGGAAGUUGACAACACCAGAGCUUUGCCACCGCCCAAUCCGCGGAUCAGGAUUUCCCCUGGAGCAACACGAUGGGUAAUGCGGACCGCAGCGACGCCUUCGAGAAGAGAACGAACUCGCCGCCGCCGGUCUGCCCGAAGAUAGAACAUGUUUUCAUCCCCACGGUCCUCGGAAAAGUAGCCUAUAUGAAUAUUAAAAUAAAAAAUACCAGGAAAAAUUUAAGAAAAAACUAGGAUUUGGGGAUAUCAAUCUUGGGCGCCCAAUCUACUCCCGCGUGAUGUUUAUCGUGAAAAAAUAUCAGGAAACGUAUUCGUGGCGAAGAAAAUACAGUCUGACAUAUGAUCCAUCCAAACAGUUUUUUCUAUACAUAAGAAUUUUUUAGUAUUUUUACUGAGAAUAUAUUUCCUAAUAUUUUUUCACGAAACUUCACACGGAAGUAAAUUGGGCACCCGGGUUUGAUAUCCCAAAAUUUUAGGUUUUUUGGUUUGUUUUUUAGUUAAUACACAUAUCGGGGGUGGAGCACCUGAGUGCUCCAAAUACUCUCCCUUUGCCCUUACUACUACUAGACAACAAGUGAUUAAGCAUAUAUACACAAUGCUCUUUAUUUUCUGUUAUUUUUUGAGCGAGUCUUUUCCUUGUUCGUUUGAUUGGCGAUUCAACUACCGUCGUUGUCGACGCGAAAGGGCGACAAGGGAAAUUGAAUACCUACCUCCUCCGACCAAAGCAGUUUUCCUGCCCCUCGCCAGCGUUGUCGCUGGUCCGUCUCGUCUCCUGUGGUCCUUAGAUCAUAGAGGCGCGGUGGAUCCCAGUCAUUGUCGGCAGAAGGGCCCCGUUUUUAAGUGUUUUUUAGUUUUGUUCGGGUUUGGGCCAUGCUCAGGAAGACGAGGCGGCAGCGGCUUCUUGAAUAACGUUCUUCUCGCCUAGCCCCCGCCCCGAUAGUGCUUCUAGCGUCAUCGGAGGGCACGUGGAGAUUCGUCUCUUUUGGAUCUCAUCGGAUCCUGUCGGCAUUUGUCUUCGGUGGAUCCGCUUGAAUCCGGUCUUCGUUCGUUACGCCUGUGUGUCUGUAGGUGGGAUUAUUCCGAUCUACGCUUCUCUUCAUCUGCAGCGGUUGUUGUUCUUGUGCGCUGGUCCUAUGGGGUCUUAGCACGAUAACUUAUUGACUGUCUACUAUAAUAAUGUUUGCCUGGUUACGAUGAGGGAGGGGCGACGGCGGCGGCACGCCUUUGGAUCGCUCCAGUGUUUGUAGUCGUCCCUAGGUGGUCUACGGUUUUACUUCUGGUGUUCUUCGUACUACCUUGACAAUGACUAGAUCGGAAGUUUUCUAGAAAAAAGCAUAUAUACACAAAAAUUCACUGGUAUUUGUCAUCCAUAUAAACAACAUUGUAUGGAAGCUGCAUUCGGUUUUGUUUCUACAUCAGCACAGGCAGCUUCAAAAAGGUUUUGUCUGGGGAAAAGAAAGAUGAGCGGCGUGCACUUGUCUAACCCGUUUAUGAUCUAAUGUUAUUUCCCCACUUGGCUGAGAAAAUGAAUACCACACAGGACACUCCAACUUAAAAGUAUGGCCAUUUGAUUUGCUAGAUGAAAUACUGAAAUAUUGGUAUAUAAGAGGAGCCCACCAGACACCAGUCACCACAGCACUUCUCUUGUCAUAGCUUGUACGAGGAAGAAGGAGAGCGAUGGAGGGGGCCAAAAGAGCGGCCGCCGUUGCCGCCCUGUGCAUGCUCAUCCUCCUCACGCUGGCAAAGCCAUCCCAUCAGCAGCUCUCCGACGCCGUCUGCGAGUGCUACCGGCAGUGCUACUCCGGGUGCAAGGACAUCACCUGGCCGCGGGUCUGCAAGGUCGAGUGCGCCGGCGGCUGUGGCGGUGCUAACGGCUACGACAAGGUUGGCUCCUGCAUGAUCGCCUGCAGCAUGGACCCCGUCUGCGGCCUGUCAACGGCCCCCCUCGGUAAGACGACACUGCGUUUGCUCCUUUUGUGGAUGAGUUCUCAUGCAUGGACACUGACGGAACAUGUGCUUGCUCCAUUGUUCUGUUGAUGCAAAGGAAAGAAGGAUCAUCUCUUCUCUUGUUCUGAUGAGACUUGUGCUUGCGUUGUUGUUUUGUAGAUCCAGCUGACGUUGUGGCUUGUAACAAUGAGUGCAAAAAGAGGUGGGGUGGCCAUGGACACGCCAACUAACAAAGAUUUGAAGAGCUUGUACAUCUUUAAAGAAGUAACAAAGAUUUGAAGAGCUUGUGCAUCUUUAAAUAAGUCAUCAAGAUUUGAAGAGCCGGUCGGUCAUGGGAUGGUAUGAUGUCAACCAGUUGGGAUUGCUGCACCAAUCAAUAAAAUGUGUUUCACUUCGGUGCACCACUUGUAACAAUGUUUGUGUAUCUCAAAGUCAAAGUAAAUUAGCUUAUUGAUGCAUAUGGAAAAUCUCUGCUAGUUUUGAUUUGGCAUUGAUUUUACCUUCCCCUACUGGAUCGCAAGAACAAAACUAGCAGCUUUCUUUUCCGCGGAAUAAGUGACACAUUUCAUUUCUUAAGAGGAAUUCAAAAGUUAAUCAGCAAACUCGUCCAUGCUUUAUGUUAAUCUCAAUGAACACAAAACAAAUCAACAUUCAUUCAUUAGUAGAAUUCUCCCCACAGAAUUUCAUCAAGAACAAACAGAGAAAAUCUGACAUAAGCAGAAAUUAGACGCAGAAUUCUCCCCACCAGAUAGAAAUGAUCAAAUAAUCAAACCAAUUUCCAGUUGUCAUGGAAGCUAGUAUUCGAUUUUAUUGGAACACCGGGUCAUUCCUAGCAGUGGUAGUAGUGCUUUCACCGUUUACCAUCACAAGAGGUCGAGCAAUCUUGUGCCACAAGGAGGCUAAUUUUUCAAGUGUGCACGGGUGGAAGCAGAUUCUCUCCUUUUCUAGGCAAAUUUCCAUUUCGUCUGAAACAAAUUUAAGUGCUACAGGUUUUUUUUGCUAGGAUUAAAUAUACUUCAGUUCAGUUGUGCCGGCAGGAGGCUCAUUUUUCAGAGAGCACGCAAUUUAGAUGAUUUGUCACAAGGGUUUGUGUAACAUAUGCCGGGAUUUCAGACGUCGUUUCUUUGUGUAACAUCUGAACAGUGAAUAGAAGAAUUUUUAUGGCAUGAACUAUUCCAUUUUUGAUGGAUGCAGCUGCCACUUGCUCUGGUAUGUCAUCCCAUACAUAAACUACAGCUAGUGUACCAGAACUGCAAUCAGUUUUCUUUCUAUAUCUAUCAACACAGGCAGCUCCAUAACUCAGAAUUUCAGCAGCAUGUGCCUUGUCUUACCAGUUUAAGAUCCAAGGUUAUUUUCAGGAGCACCACUGGGGGCUAGUAAGUGACAGCAGGCAAAGUCCCAUUUCUUUCAGAAAAAGAGUACCAUGGAAAAUUUUGUUGUGGAGCGCCCUUGGUGAUGCCAAGUAACCAUAGAGCUAAGAGCGGGUCGAUCAUGGCAUCAUAAUCAUAUGAUGUCAAGCGGCUGUGAUUGCUACACUAAUCAAUAAAAUGUGUUUCUCUUCGGUGCACCGCUUGUAAUAAAGACGGUUAUCGAUGCAUGUCGCAUAUCCCUGCUCAGUUUCAUUUGGCUUUGAUUUUACCUUCCUCUGUCCAGAUAGCAAGAGCUAUAUUGUUUAUCUUCUUUUUGCAGGAAUAAGUGACAUAAAGGCUUAAAUCGAACAUUAGCAAACUAAUCACACUAGUAGAAAAGGGGGCUUUUGUCCCGGUUGGUAAGGGCCUUUAGUCCCGGUUUUUGAACCGGGACUAAAGGGUUGUUACUAAUGCCUCCCCCCUUUAGUCCCGGUUCUUACACGAACCGGAACUAAAGGCCCUCCACGUGGACGCAGCCUGGACUAAAGGAAAUUUUAUGAUUUUUUUUUUAAAAAUUUACGAUUUUUUUUAAUUUUUUUCUGAUUUUUAAAUUUCUGAAUUAUUUUAACCUCUAAUCUCUAAUCAUCACCCCUCAUCACUGCUUAAUUUAUCCUCUAAUCUCUAAUCACCCCUCAUCAUUCCAAAUCAUCUAACUCCCGGACGGUCACCCAUCCUCUCACUACUCCAGCCUGAGCACGCUUAACUUCCGGGUUCUAUUCUCCCUCGUUUCCAAGUCUGCACUUGUUGUUUUCCUGACAAUAGUAAGAUGUCAAUUCUAUUAACCCUCAGAAAUUUAGCUUGAGCAUGAAGUGACACAUUUCACUGUUUGAGUUUGAAACUAUUGUUUUAAAAAACAAUAAUUAUUUAGUAACACUAAUAUUUCUGGAAUAAUUAGUUUGACCAUUGUUUGACCACUGUUUGACCAGAUUUGACCAAAAUUCAAAAAAAACUGAAAUAAUUAUUUAGUAACACUAAUAUUCUAGAAUAAUUAGUUUGACCAUUGUUUGACCACACUUUGACCACAAUUUGAAUUUUUUUGAAUUUUUUUGCCUCUCCAGAUCUUAAAAGCCCCUUAUCUUUUUUUCUGUUAGGUCUUUGAGGAUUUAGAAAAUGUUUAACAGGGUUCCCCCGAUUAAAUUCGGAUGUAACUUUUCGAGUAGAUGAUUUUUCAUAUAAAAAACUUUUUCAUCCGAGUUCGUAUGCAAAAGUUAUGCCCAUUUUAAGAAAUUCCAGAGAGAUUUUGCAAAUAAAGUCGAAAUUCAUAUUUGUUAAUUUUCCCAAUAACUAGACCACAUAUCACAUGGGAAACUUAUUUUAUUUUAUUUUUUUGACAUUUCCAUCAUUUUCUUUUNNNNNNNNNNNNNNNNNNNNNNNNNNNNNNNNNNNNNNNNNNNNNNNNNNNNNNNNNNNNNNNNNNNNNNNNNNNNNNNNNNNNNNNNNNNNNNNNNNNNNNNNNNNNNNNNNNNNNNNNNNNNNNNNNNNNNNNNNNNNNNNNNNNNNNNNNNNNNNNNNNNNNNNNNNNNNNNNNNNNNNNNNNNNNNNNNNNNNNNNNNNNNNNNNNNNNNNNNNNNNNNNNNNNNNNNNNNNNNNNNNNNNNNNNNNNNNNNNNNNNNNNNNNNNNNNNNNNNNNNNNNNNNNNNNNNNNNNNNNNNNNNNNNNNNNNNNNNNNNNNNNNNNNNNNNNNNNNNNNNNNNNNNNNNNNNNNNNNNNNNNNNNNNNNNNNNNUUUUUCUAAAACUGAAAAAGGCGGUCGUGGGGGGGGGAGGGGGGGGGGGUAGAGUUUGAAAAUAGGCCCUUUAGUACCGGUUCGUGCCACCAACCGGUACUAAUGGGCAUCGCACCCUUUAGUCCCGGUUCAUGGCACCAACCGGGACUAAAGGGCCCAGGAGAACCGGGACUAAUGCCUCAACCGCAUGAACCGAGACCAAUGCUCACAUUAGUCCCGGUUCGUGACUGAACCGGGACUAAUGUGAAUCUCGCCCUGUGACCAAAGCCCUGUUUUCUAUUAGUGUCAAAGGCUCAAAAGCCUAGCGUAAAUCUAAAUAAAAAAGCAAACUAAUAGAAAAUUUUCAGUGGGAACCAGAUAAACAUUCACCAAGAACAAACAAACAAAAUGGGACAUACUCCCUCCGUACUAAAAUAUAAGACGUUUUUGUAGGCUAGUUUAGCCUUCAAAAAGGUCUUAUAUUUAGGUAUAGAGGUAGUAUGUAGAAAUCUGCCACAGAAUAAUCCCAACCUCAUACAACAUCAAACAGUGAGCACAAUCAAAACAGUGAAUAAAAUAAACAUAUACAUAAUGCAAGCAAGCAAGAUCAUAACCGAAGCAAGUGCACAGGCCACUUCUGCACCUCAGCCACCGGAACGUAACUCUACCUGCAGGGCAGUUAUGGAAUCAGCCAAAGCAAUUUGUUCAAGACAUUCAUGAAAAGCUGUUAAAAGUUAUAUCUGGAGAUUUUGUAUGGCUCAAACAAUAAAUAUUAGCUAAAACAUCUUGAAAUUCAUGCCAAAAGCUCCAACGUGAAUUCUAAAUAAAAAAAAAAAACUCCAACAUGGUUUCAAUAGAAAAAACUCCGAUGUGAAAUCAGCUCAGAAUUUUUAGAGAAAACCAACAUUAGAAACAGAGAACAACAUGUAAUUUGAGGCACACUUUCAACUUCUAUCAUUUCGCAGUUUCUGGAAAUAUCUGGUUCCAAUACAGGCUAAAAGAUCAAUGGGCAUAUGAUUCAUGGAGUAGGAAAGCAAAAACAUUUUUGGUUUCUAGCUCAUAAGAUACCUUAGAAAGCAUAAACCCAUGUAUACAGUAUUUUUUACUGGUGUGUGUCAACCCGUAUAAACGGAGUUAUAUGGAAACUGAUUCUGUGUUCUGUUGACAUCAGCACAGGCAGCUUCACAAAGGCUUGUGUGGGGGAAAAAAGGAUGAGCAGCAUCAUAUAUUCCGUUGGAACUAUAAUAAAAAUUAUAGUUCCUGGCACGAACUAUAUAUUCCAUUGGAAUUACAUUGGGAAGAUUGUAAGUUGCCAUUCUAAAGAACUUUGAUUGAUCUCCCUGCAUGCAGCUGUAUAGUUCAACAGAGGUGAUUAAACAUACAGUAACUUGCACGCUGGUAUGCCAUCCCAUGUAUAAAGAUUAUAAACAGCAUUGAUUCAGAAGUUCAGAACUGCAUUCUGUUUUCUUCCUAUAUCAAGACACGCGGUUUUAAGGUGAGCAGCAUGUGCCUUGUCUAACCAGUUUAAGAUCCAUGCUUAUUUUCAGGUGCAGCACUACCACUAGGGGGCUAAUAAGUGACUGUACGCAAAGUCUCAUCUUGUUCGGGAAUAAAGAAUACUAUGGCAAAAUUGGCAACAGAGCAUUCUAACUUGAAAUUAUGGUCAUUUGAUUUGCUGGAAAAUAGUGAAAUGCUAUUGGCUUCGCUAAGAAUUACCUGGGCAAAAUGUCAAUAUUGCCCUCAGAACUCCAAUACGUAAGGGCCCUCACUCUAGCUGAAUGACAGAACCACCAGCCCACGACUCAGUCAGCAGUCAGCACCAGUACCAGUACGAUUGUGAGGCCAAGGAGAUAGAGGCGAAGAGGGCGGCCGCCGUUGUCGCCUUGUGCAUGCUGCUCCUCACGCUGCCAAAGCCAUCCCACCAGGUGCAAGGGCCGCUGUCCGACGUCGACUGCGUGUGCUAUCGGCAGUGCUACCGCAGGUGCAAGGACAGCGCGCCGUCGUGGCUCUCCAAGGUCAAGUGCACCACUGGUUGCCCCUUGAGCGGCCCAGGCCACACCUUUGACGGGAUACUCGUCUGCUUCGACGCCUGCGACUCGGACUCCAUCUGUGACCUGCCGGCGCCCCAGACCUAGCUUAUUAGUGCAAACGUAGACCUAGCUUAUUCCGGGUUUGGGGUGGCCUCGGCAAUGCUUCAAGGUAGGGGCGCGGCGGGAGGGGGUAGGAGACCGACAUCGUUUUUUUCUAGGGUUUGGGUGUCCUCGAGAGUUUUGGUCGAGCGAGAGGGCCGGGGGGUGCUCCCGUGGUAUAAGUUAUCAUGGUCGAGAGGGGGUAUAAAUAUCGACCGUCCAUCAUGUCGAAGUUAUCUGGGAGGGAGUUAUAUAUAUCGACAACGACGACAUACAUACAUGGGAAAAUAAUGUUAUCGGGGAGGGGGUAUAUCGACCCCCCCCCAUGUGUUGAAGUUAUCCGGAGGGGGUUAUAUCGACAUACGUACAUGGGAAAAUAAUAUUAUCGGGGAGGGGGUAUAUGGACCCCCCCUCGUGUUGAAGUUAUCGGGAGAGGGGUAUAUCGACGACGACAGACCCGAUAAAACAUAAGAAAAUGAAGAAGAAAUAAAAAGAGGAGAAGAAGAAAGGAAUAGAGGAGAAGAUCGAAGAAAAAUAAGAAGAAAAAAAAGAGGAGAAGAAGAAAGGAAUAGAGGAGAGAAGAAGAAAAAAUAGAAUUUUUUCUAUUUUUUCUUCUUCUCUUCUAUUCCUUUCUUCUUCUCCUCUUCUUUUUCUUCUUUUUUCCUCUUCUUAUUUAUUUCUCCUCUUCUUCCCCUCCUCUUCUUCUCCUUUCUUCCUCUUCUUAUUUUCCUUUUUCCUCUCCUUCUUUUUCUUCUUCUUCCUUUCCUAGCUAGAUAUAUAAAACUUUUCUAAAAAUGUAACUUUUGCAUAUAUAAAACUUUUCCAUGGAUCAUCAUUUCUCAUAUAUAUCCAUGUAUAGCCACAUACAUAUAUAAAUGGAAAAAAAAUGCUAUGAACAAAAAUACAUAUAUACUUGGUAAAUAUUCUAUGAACAUCGUUUCUCAUAUAUAUCAAUGCAUACAUCCAUGGAUCAUCAUUGCUCAUAUAUCCAUAGUCAUAUAUAAAACUUUCUGUAUAUGAACAAAAAAACAUUUUUUGACAUAUUUAGCACAUUCUAAAAAUAUCAUAAAUUCUAAAAAUGCCCAAAGCCAUCUAGCAUUUGAUCAAACACCCUCUAUAUGCACUGUUCAUAUCUGUAAAAAAAUUCAGAAAAUUGGACGGCGUCUUGCUGCUGCUCCACUCCUUCUCCUCUCCUCUCCUUCUCCUCUCCUUCUGCUCUUCAAUGCGUCGGGGCCGGCGGCGACCAUGGAGCAGGGGCGGCAGAGAGCAAGGGGCACUCGGGCGCAAGAGCGGCGCUCGAUCGGGACCAUGGGAAAGGGGGGCUCACUUCNNNNNNNNNNNNNNNNNNNNNNNNNNNNNNNNNNNNNNNNNNNNNNNNNNNNNNNNNNNNNNNNNNNNNNNNNNNNNNNNNNNNNNNNNNNNNNNNNNNNNNNNNNNNNNUUGAUAUAUAGUCCAAGCAUUAGUCUCGGUUCGUGGCACCAACCGGGACUAAAGGGGGGGCAUUGGUCCCGGUUGGUGCCACGAACCAGGACCAAAGGGGGCAUUGGUCCCGGUUCGUGCCACCAACCGGGACCAAUGGCCUUGCACAGCGGCGUGGUGGUGGGAGUUUAGUCCCACCUUGCUAGCUGAGAGAGAGCCGCACCUGUUUAUAAGGUGCGGUGCGCCUGAGCUGUCGAGCUCCUCUCUAAAGCAGGCUUACGGGCCUAACCUCUCUGUACAUGCCUGUGGGCCUACUGGGCCUUCUGCGGGCCUGAAUCCUGGCCCAUGGAUGGGUUUCUAGUCGUAUUCAGGCCGUGGUGGCCCAGUAGGUGGCAUAAUUUUUAUUUUUNNNNNNNNNNNNNNNNNNNNNNNNNNNNNNNNNNNNNNNNNNNNNNNNNNNNNNNNNNNNNNNNNNNNNNNNNNNNNNNNNNNNNNNNNNNNNNNNNNNNNNNNNNNNNNNNNNNNNNNNNNNNNNNNNNNNNNNNNNNNNNNNNNNNNNNNNNNNNNNNNNNNNNNNNNNNNNNNNNNNNNNNNNNNNNNNNNNNNNNNNNNNNNNNNNNNNNNNNNNNNNNNNNNNNNNNNNNNNNNNNNNNNNNNNNNNNNNNNNNNNNNNNNNNNNNNNNNNNNNNNNNNNNNNNNNNNNNNNNNNNNNNNNNNNNNNNNNNNNNNNNNNNNNNNNNNNNNNNNNNNNNNNNNNNNNNNNNNNNNNNNNNNNNNNNNNNNNNNNNNNNNNNNNNNNNNNNNNNNNNNNNNNNNNNNNNNNNNNNNNNNNNNNNNNNNNNNNNNNUUUAUGAAAAUUAUUUUUGCUUUCAAUGAUUUUGAACAGAAAAUACUUCAAUAAUUUUAGUUGCAUCAAUUUUAUAUAAUUUUAGUUUCAAUAAUACUAGAGGUUGCUUAUAAUGUUUUGAACAGAAAAUACUUUGAUAAUUUUAGUUUCAUAAAUUUUAUUUAUGUUAUUAGAGUUUAUUUUAUUUUGUUUCUACUUAUAUAUUUUAUUAAAGUUUAUAUUAUUUUGUUUCUAAUUACUUAUUUAUUUUAUUUGUUAUUUUUCAUGCACCAUUUUUCAUGCAUUUACUGAUUAUUUGGAGCUAUAAGACCCUAAAAUUGAAAAGUAUUUCAAAUGAACUCUGAAAAGGUUGAAAGUUGGCAUGGUAUCAUCAUUUCAUCCACAUAGCAUGUGCAAGAAAGUUGAGAGGGUUACGGCAAAAACUGGAUGCACUUCGUGUACAAAACGGACAAUCUCUUUCGAAGUAUCAGGAUUUCAUACGGAAACUCGUCUGUUACAAAGGGAUUUCAUUUUUUAAAACUUAUUUGAACUUCUGACUUUUUGUGUGUUCAAAAUGCACCAUUCAAAGCCACAUCUCAUCAAUUUUCAACCCUUUCUGACUUCAUUUGUUAUUUUUCAUGCAUUUACUAAUUAUUUUGAGCUAUAAGACCCUAAAAUUGAAAAGCAUUUCAAAUGAACUCUGAAAAGGUUGAAAGUUGGCAUGGUAUCAUCAUUUCAUCCACAUAGCAUGUGCAAGAAAGUUGAGAGGGUUACGGCAAAAACUAGAUGCACUUCGUGUACAAAACGGACAAUGGUAUCAUGCUCGUCUGUUACAAAGUUGGCAUGGUAUCAUCAUAAUAGUUGCGGGAGAAAGUCUUCAAUUUUUCUUCGCUUGUGUCAUUUGCUUAUUGCGCCGUAACCAUGGAUAAUCUUCAUCGUUUAUCAGGAUGCUUGGGUCAGCCUUGACUUUGAAGGGAGGAAUUUCAUGAAACUUUUCAUAAUCUUCAGACAUGUCUGUCUUGCCCUCCACUCCCACAAUGUCCCUUUUUCCUGAAAGAACUAUGUGGCGCUUUGGCUCAUCGUAUGAUGUAUUCGCUUCCUUAUCUUUUCUUUUUCUCGGUGUGGUAGACAUGUCCUUCACAUAGAUAACCUGUGCCACAUCAUUGGCUAGGACGAACGGUUCAUCAGUGUACCCAAGAUUGUUCAGAUCCACUGUUGUCAUUCCGUACUGUGGGUCUACCUGUACCCCGCCUCCUGACAGAUUGACCCAUUUGCACUUAAACAAAGGGACCUUAAAAUCAUGUCCGUAGUCAAGUUCCCUUAUGUCCAUUAUGUAACAAUAAUAUGUGUCCUUUCCCCUCUCAGUUGCUGCAUCAAAGCGGACACCGCUGUUUUGGUUGGUGCUCUUUUGAUCUUGGGCCAUCGUGUAAAAUGUAUUCCCAUUUAUCUCGUAUCCUUUGUAAGUCAAUACAGUCGAAGAUGGUCCCCUGGACAACGAGUACAACUCAUCACAAACAGUGGUGUCACCUCUAAGACAUGUUUCCAACCAACUGCUAAAAGUCCUGAUGUGUUCACAUGUAAUCCAGUCGUCACACUGCUCCGGGUGUUUGGAAGUUCUUGUGUUCAUCGACAUACGGGGUCACCAAGGUAGAGUUCUGUAGAACUGUGUAGUAUGCUUGAGACCAAGAAUAUCCGUCCCUGCAUAUUAUUGAGUCCCCUCCAAGCGUGCCUUUUCCAGUCAGUCUCCCCUCAUACCGCGAUUUAGGGAGACCUAUCUUCUUAAGGCCAGGAAUGAAGUCAACACAAAACCCAAUGACAUCCUCUGUUUGAUGGCACAUGGAGAUGCUUCCUUCUGGCCUAGCGCGGUUACGGACAUAUUUCUUUAGGACUCCCAUGAACCUCUCAAAGGGGAACAUAUUGUGUAGAAAUACGGGCCCCAGAAUGACAAUCUCGUCGACUAGAUGAACUAGGACGUGCGUCAUGAUAUUGAAGAAGGAUGGUGGGAACACCAGCUCGAAACUGACAAGACAUUGCGCCACAUCAGUCCUUAGCCUUGGUAUGAUUUCUGGAUCGAUCACCUUCUGAGAGAUUGCAUUGAGGAAUGCACAUAGCUUCACAAUGGCUAAUCGGACGUUUUCCGGUAGAAGCCCCCUCAAUGCAACCGGAAGCAGUUGCGUCAUAAUCACGUGGCAGUCAUGAGACUUUAGGUUUUGGAACUUUUUCUCUGGCAUAUCUAUUAUUCCCUUUUAUUCGACGAGAAGCCAGUCGGGACCUUCAUACUGAGCAGGCAUUCAAAGAAGAUUUCUUUCUCUUCUUUCGUAAGAGCGUAGCUGGCAGGACCUUCAUGCUGCUUCGGAGGCACGCCGUCUUUUUCGUGCAAACGUUGCAGGUCCUCCCGUGCCUCAGGUGUAUCUUUUGUCUUCCCAUACACGCCCAAGAAGCCUAGCAGGUUCACGCUAAGGUUCUUCGUCACGUGCAUCACGUCGAUUGAAGAGCGGACCUCUAGCUCUUUCCAGUAGGGUAGGUCCCAAAAUAUAGAUUUCUUCUUCCACAUGGGUGCGUGUCCCUCAGCAUCAUUCGGAACAGCUAGUCCGCCGGGACCCUUUCCAAAGAUUACGUGUAAAUCAUUGACCAUAGCAAGUACGUGAUCACCGGUACGCAUGGCGGGCUUCUUCGGGUGAUCUGCCUCGCCUUUGAAAUGCUUGCCUUUCUUUCGACAUUGAUGGUUGGUCGGAAGAAAUCGACGAUGGCCCAGGAACACAUUCUUCCUGCAUUUGUCCAGGUAUAUACUUUCAGUGUCAUCUAAACAGUGCGUGCAUGCGUGGUAUCCCUUGUUUGUCUGUCCUGAAAGGUUACUGAGAGCGGGCCAAUCGUUGAUGGUUACAAACAGCAACGCGUGCAGGUUAAAUUCCUCCUGUUUGUGCUCAUCCCACGUACGUACACCAUUUCCAUUCCACAGCUGUAAAAGUUCUUCAACUAAUGGCCUUAGGUACACAUCAAUGUCGUUGCCGGGUUGCUUAGGGCCUUGGAUGAGAACUGGCAUCAUAAUGAACUUCGGCUUCAUGCACAUCCAAGGAGCAAGGUUAUACAUACAUAGAGUCACGGGCCAAGUGCUGUGAUUGCUGCUCUGCUCCCAGAAAAUAUUAAUGCCAUCCGCGCUUAAACCAAACCAUACGUUCCUUGGGUCAGCUGCAAACUCAGCCCAGUACUUUCUCUCGAUUUUUCUCCACUGCGACCCGUCAGCGGGUGCUCUCAACUUCCCGUCUUUCUUACGGUCCUCACUGUGCCAUCGCAUUAACUUGGCAUGCUCUUCGUUUCUGAACAGAUGUUUCAACCGUGGUAUUAGAGGAGCAUACCACAUCACCUUCGCAGGAACCCUCUUCCUAGGGGGCUCGCCGUCAACAUCACUAAGGUCAUCUCGUCUGAUCUUAUACCGCAAUGCACCGCAUACCGGGCAUGCGUUCAGAUCCUUGUACGCACCGCGGUAGAGGAUGCAGUCAUUAGGGCAUGCAUGUAUCUUCUGCACCUCUAAUCCUAGAGGGCAUACGACCUUCUUUGCUGCGUAUGUACUGUCGGGCAAUUCGUUAUCCUUUGGAAGCUUCUUCUUCAAUAUUUUCAAUAGCUUCUCAAAUCCUUUGUCAGGCACAUCAUUCUCUGCCUUCCACUGCAGCAAUUCCAGUACGGUACCGAGCUUUGUGUUGCCAUCUUCGCAAUUGGGGUACAACCCUUUUUUGUGAUCCUCUAACAUGCGAUCGAGCUUCAGCUUCUCCCUUUGACUUUCGCAUUGCGUCCUUGCAUCGAUAAUGACCCGGCGGAGAUCAUCAUCAUCGGGCACUGGUUCCUCUUGAUCUUCAGCAGCUUUCCCCCCUUGCAGCAUCAUUGGGCACAUCGUCUGGUUCCUCUUCAUCUUCAGCAGCUUCCCCCGUUGCAGCAUCACCGUAUUCAGGGGGCACAUAGUUGUCAUCGUCCUCUUCUUCUUCGCCGUCUUCCAUCACAACCCCUAUUUCUCCGUGCCUCGUCCAAACAUUAUAGUGUGGCAUGAAACCCUUGUAAAGCAGGUGGGUGUGAAGGAUUUUUCGGUCAGAGUAAGACUUCGUCUUCCCACAUAUAGGGCAUGGACAACACAUAAAACCAUUCUGCUUGUUUGCCUCAGCCACUUCGAGAAAAUCAUGCACGCCAUUAAUGUACUCGGAGGUGUGUCCGGCACCGUACAUCCAUUGCCGGUUCAUCUGCGUGCAUUAUAUAUAAUUAAGUGUGUCAAAAACCAUUACAGAACAUCAUGAAUAGAUAAUUAAGUGACCAAAUUAAUAGAAGUUCAUCAUCACAUUAAAACCAAAGUACAUACAUAGUUCUCAUCUAACAACAUAUAUAUAGCUCUCCAGCGCAUCUAAUUAAUUAAACCAUACAUUGAAACUAUGUAAAACUUUUCAAUGCGAAAACAAAUGCGAUCAUAAUCGCAACCAAGGUAACAAUUGAUCCAACGGCAUAAUGAUACCAAGCCUCGGUAUGAAUGGCAUAUUCUCUAAUCUUUCUAAUCUUCAAGCGCAUUGCAUCCAUCUUGAUCUUGUGAUCAUCGACGACAUCCGCAACAUGCAACUCCAAUAUCAUCUUCUCCUCCUCAAUUUUUUUAAUUUUUUCCUUCAAGUAAUUGUUUUCUUCUUCAACUAAAUUUAACCUCUCGACAAUAGGGUCGGUUAGAAUUUCCGGUUCAACCACCUCCUAGAUAAAUAAAAUCUAUGUCACGUUGGUCGGCAUAUUUGUCAUAAAUAAUAAAUGAACCAAAUAGUUAUAAAAAGAUAAUAUAUACCACAUCCAAAUCAUAGACAGGACGAGGGCCGACGGGGGCGGAUACCAAAACCAUCGCACUAUGUAAUAAGAAGGAAUAAUAAAAGUAACAAAAUUAGACAAGUAUCUAUCUAAAGUAAGAAUUUUUUUCUUUCAGAAAGAAGAUAAGAACAAGAGGCUCACCACGGUGGUGCUGGCGACGAGAUCGGCGCGGGCGAUCGACAACGGUGAAGACGGGGACGGGACGUGACGGACCGCUAAACCUAGACAAAUCUCGGGGAAAAUGGAGCUCGGAGGUCGAGUUUCGAGAGGAGAAAGAUUAACUAGUGUGGCUCAGACAUUUCAUCGAACACCUCAUGUGCAUAGGAGGUGAGCUAGAGCACCCAAAUGCCCUCCCCUCGCCGGCCAGAAAAAACAGAGCACUGUGGAGUGCUCUGCNNNNNNNNNNNNNNNNNNNNNNNNNNNNNNNNNNNNNNNNNNNNNNNNNNNNNNNNNNNNNNNNNNNNNNNNNNNNNNNNNNNNNNNNNNNNNNNNNNNNNNNNNNNNNNNNNNNNNNNNNNNNNNNNNNNNNNNNNNNNNNNNNNNNNNNNNNNNNNNNNNNNNNNNNNNNNNNNNNNNNNNNNNNNNNNNNNNNNNNNNNNNNNNNNNNNNNNNNNNNNNNNNNNNNNNNNNNNNNNNNNNNNNNNNNNNNNNNNNNNNNNNNNNNNNNNNNNNNNNNNNNNNNNNNNNNNNNNNNNNNNNNNNNNNNNNNNNNNNNNNNNNNNNNNNNNNNNNNNNNNNNNNNNNNNNNNNNNNNNNNNNNNNNNNNNNNNNNNNNNNNNNNNNNNNNNNNNNNNNNNNNNNNNNNNNNNNNNNNNNNNNNNNNNNNNNNNNNNNNNNNNNNNNNNNNNNNNNNNNNNNNNNNNNNNNNNNNNNNNNNNNNNNNNNNNNNNNNNNNNNNNNNNNNNNNNNNNNNNNNNNNNNNNNNNNNNNNNNNNNNNNNNNNNNNNNNNNNNNNNNNNNNNNNNNNNNNNNNNNNNNNNNNNNNNNNNNNNNNNNNNNNNNNNNNNNNNNNNNNNNNNNNNNNNNNNNNNNNNNNNNNNNNNNNNNNNNNNNNNNNNNNNNNNNNNNNNNNNNNNNNNNNNNNNNNNNNNNNNNNNNNNNNNNNNNNNNNNNNNNNNNNNNNNNNNNNNNNNNNNNNNNNNNNNNNNNNNNNNNNNNNNNNNNNNNNNUUUAUUUACUAUAAAAAAAUGAACAUAGAUGCGCCUAUAGAGAAAAUUGAACCUAAAUUCAUAAUAAAUUUCUAUGAAAUUCAAAGAAAUUUACUGUGAAUUUAGGUCAAAUUCCUUGUAUAAGGGCAUCUAUUUUCACUUUGAGAGGAGCUUAACAAGGCAGAGAGGGACGGGCUUAUAAACCGGUGUGAGCGCCCUUCGGUUGGCGAGGUGGGACUAAACUCUGACCGCUACUAGGACCAACCCUUUAGUCCCGGUUUGUGGUAUGAACCGGGACUAAAGGGUGAGCCUCUGGUCCCGGUUCAAGCCACCAACCGGGACCAAUGGUGGUGGGCCAGGAGCGAGGCCCAUUGGUCCCGGUUUGUCCCACCAACCGGGACCAAAGGGGCCGGACGAACCGGGACCAAUGCCCCCACGAGGCCCGGCAGGCCCCUGGCCGCACGAACCGGGACCAAUGCUCACAUUAGUCCCGGUUCGUGACUGAACCGGGACUAAUGUGAAGAUUGCCCUGUGACCAAAGCCCAGUUUUCUACUAGUGUCUCCUCUGUCCAGCCGGAUCCGCGCGCCUGCUGUCAGGCUCCGUCCUCGCCUCCCUCUCUUCGGCCGCUCUGCCGCCCCUGGUCAGUCGGGAAGCAGUUGCUCCCGUCCCGUCCAGCUUCCGCCGCGCUCAGCUGCUUCUCUGCUCCGGUUCUUGCAUGCGAUCCCCCAGCCUGGCAGCGCUUCCUCCCUCCGCUUGAGCGCUCCCGCCUGUCUCCGUCCGCCCGUUGCUCCCUUGUUCCGCCAGUUGCAGCCUCUGCUGCUUGUCCGGCCGGUCGGCUCUGGCCGCUGUUGACCGGCCCAGGUCUUGCUCCCUUUCCUGGCCCGAUUGAGCUUCUGCCCGAUCCGGAUCGAGAGCCCCUCCCUGCCUCGCUCGACCCCUUGCUCGAUCCAGAUCGGGCUGCCUGGGUCUGUUGACUUCUGCAAAAAAAAGAGACAAACAACAUGUCUUCGUCUGGCUAUGUGGCUAUUCCUCGGUGCUCGGUGAUCUUCGAUGGCACAAAUUAUGCUGAGUUUGUGGGAUUCAUGCGUAUCCAUAUGCGCGGGCUCCUCAUGUGGGGUGUUCUCUCUGGCGAGGUAUCCUGUCCGCCCUGCCCUGUUGCUCCGGUGGCUCCUAUUCCACCGGUACCGCCGGUGCUUGCUACUGAUGCUUCUCAGGCUGAUCGGGAUGCAACCAAGGCCCUUGAUGCUGCUGCAGUUGAUGCCUAUGAUCAGCAGGUGUCCGCUUAUUUUGAUGCCCUUUCAGUCUACCGGGAUGAUCUGUCUGCUUACACUCAGUGGUGUAAUGAUGAUGCCCGAGCUGCUGCUGUUCUCACUGCGAGUGUCCUCCCUCAGUUUGCUUCGGAGUUCAUGGGCCUUGACACUGUUGCAGCGAUGUGGUCCUAUCUUUGUCAGCGCUAUCAGCCCUCUGGCAAUGCUCUAUACCUCUUUGUGGUGCGUCAGAAGCAUGCUCUUCAGCAGGGUGACUCGUCUGUUGAUGAGUUCUAUUCACAGUGCUCUGCCAUCUGGCGUCAGCUUGACUCACUGCGGACAGUUGUUUGUGGCACUUGUCGUUGCUGUCAGACUACGCGGUCUGACUUGGACUUUCAGCGGGUUCAUGAGUUCCUAUUUCGUCUCCGCUCUGAGUUUGAGCCCAGGAGGGCUCACUUGCUUGCUCGUGGUCGUGUUCCUCUCUCGGAGGUGCUUGCCGAGCUUCGUGCUGAGGAGACCCGCCUUCGCUCUGCUGGGUUGCUGGUGGUUCCAUCUAUGUUGGCUGCUCGAGCUCCUGUGUCGUCUUCUCGGCUCACCACUCCACCGCUCCUACCCACACCUUCAGGGGGGUGGGUCGCCCUUCUUAUGCUGAGAGGGGCCGGUCGCGCCGUGACACCUUCUGUGGCUACUGCUCUCGGCCAGGUCAUCCAGAGCCUGAUUGCCGUGAGAAGAAGCGAGACCAGAGGCGCUCCUCUUCCAGUGGGACUCCUGGAUCUUCCUCGACUCCGUCACUCACUGACCAGGACAUUGUGAGGCUCAAGUGUCUCUUGGAUUCCUCAGGCUCUUCAACGACCGGUUCUACUGCUGCGGUGACUGCAUCCACUUCUCCACCACUGCAGGCAUCUACACAGUCAGGUACAUCUUCGUGGGUUCUGGAUUCUGGAGCCUCUUUUCAUAUGUCUUCUGAUUCUUCCGUGUUGUCUUCUCUCCGACCUCUUGAUUCGCCUGUUAAUGUUCUUACCGCCGAUGGCACACCUCUUCUUGUUGCUAGUCGUGGUCUUCUUUCCACUCCGUCCUUCUCUGUUCCUAGUGUUUCACAUGUUCCUCGUCUUACCAUGAAUCUUUUUUCCGCUGCCCAACUUACUGAUUCUGGUUGUCAUGUCAUUCUUGAAACCGACUCUUGCUCCAUUCAGGAUCGUCGCACCAAGGCUUUGGUUGGUGCUGGCCCCCGGCGCCGUGAGUCAGAGGGCCUUUGGGAGGUUGACUGGCUUUGUGUUCCUUCCACUGCCACCACUUCUGCCAGCUCCCAUGCUCUUGCUGCGUCCUCGUCUGCGUCCUUCCAGCAGUGGCAUCAUCGCCUUGGUCACAUCUGUGGCUCUCGCUUGUCUUCUUUAGUUCGUCAGGGCCUCUUAGGGUCUGUUCUGGAGAUGUUUCUUUACAUUGUAAUGGUUGCAGACUUGGCAAACACACCCAGUUACCUUAUCCUACCAGUGAGUCGGUGUCUCAGCGUCCUUUUGACUUAGUUCAUUCUGAUGUCUGGGGUCCUGCUCCUUUUGAUUCGAAAGGUGGUCAUCGCUACUAUAUUUUGUUUAUUGAUGAUUUCUCUCGCUACACUUGGCUCUACUUCAUGAAAUCUCGUAGCGAGGUUCUCUCUAUAUACAAACGCUUUGCUGUCAUGGUUCACACCCAGUUUUCCACGCCCAUUCGUACUUUUCGUGCUGACUCCGCUGGUGAGUUUAUCUCUUAGCUGUUGCAUGGUUUUCUUGCGGAACAGGGUACUCUUGCCCAGUUCUCAUGUCCUGGUGCUCAUGCUCAGAAUGGAGUUGUCGAACGUAAGCAUCGUCACCUACUUGAGACGGCUCGUGCACUGAUGAUUGUCGCUUCCCUUCCACCCCACUUUUGGGCUGAGGCUGUUUCUGCAUCCACCUAUCUCAUCAACAUUCAGCCAUCGACUGCUCUGCAGGAUGGUAUUCCUAUGGAGUGUCUCACUUGUCGCUCUCCUGACUACUCAGCUCUCUGUAUGUUUGGAUGUGUGUGCUAUGUCCUUCUUGCACCGCGAGAACGCACCAAACUGACUGCUUAGUCAGUUGAGUGUGUUUUCCUUGGCUACAGUGAUGAGCACAAGGGCUAUCGCUGUUGGGAUCCUGUUGGUCGGCGGUUGCGCGUCUCGCGUGAUGUGACUUUUGAUGAGUCUCGCUCUUACUACCCACGUCCUUCUUCCUCGAUCUUCUCUGUGGACGAUAUUUCUUUUCUUCUUCUCCCCGAUACACCCCGCUAUGUGCCUCAUGUUUCACCUCCUCCUCCUACACCUCUCCUUCCUUCUCCUUCACCACCGACACCAUCGUCCCCAUCCUCCUCCACCACCUCUCCACCAUCAUCUCCAGUCCGUCGCCCUCUCUCACCGUUCCCUCUCCACUAUACUAGUCGCCCUCGUUCUGAGGAUGCUUCCCCUGACGCGCCUUCCACCUCUGGUGCUCGUUUCACGCCUCCCCCGAUUCAUAACCUCCGUGCUCGGCCUCGCCCCCCGCCUGAUCGGUACGGUCUCUCUGUUCUUGCUGAGCCCACUUCCUAUCGGACUGCCAUGACUCAGCCUGAAUGGCAACUUGCGAUGGCCGAAGAGCUUGCUGCUCUUGACCGCUCGGGCACAUGGGAUUUGGUACCCCUCCCUUCCGGUGUUCGUCCCAUCACCUGCAAGUGGGUCUACAAGGUUAAGACUCGUUCUGAUGGUUCUCUUGAGCGCUACAAAGCUCGUCUUGUGGCCCGCGGUUUUCAGCAGGAGCAGGGGCGCGAUUAUGAUGAAACUUUUGCUCCUGUGGCCCACAUGACCACUGUCCGCACUCUCCUUGCUGUGGCUUCUGUUCGUCAUUGGUCUAUCUCUCAACUUGAUGUCCAGAACGCCUUUCUCAAUGGCGAGUUGCGUGAGGAGGUCUAUAUGCAGCCACCACCGGGGUACUAUGCCCAUGAUGGUAUGGUCUGUAGACUUCGGCGCUCCCUCUAUGGGCUUAAACAGGCCCAUCGCGCCUGGUUUGAGCGCUUCACCUCUGUGGUAACUGCCGCUGGUUUCUUGCCUAGUGAUCAUGAUCCCGCGUUGUUUGUUCACAUGUCUCCUCGAGGUCGCACUCUUCUUCUUCUCUAUGUUGAUGACAUGAUCAUCACUGGUGACGACUCUGAGUACAUUGCCUUUGUUAAGGCUCGCCUUCGCGACCAGUUCCUCAUGACUGAUCUUGGUCCACUUCGCUAUUUUCUUGGGAUUGAGAUCUCCUCCACCACUGAUGGCUUCUAUAUCUCCCAAGAAAAAUAUAUUCAGGAUCUUCUUGCUCGCGCUGCUCUCGGUGAUGACCGCACAGUUGUGACUCCUAUGGAGCUCAACGUUCAGCUGCGUGCCUCUGAUGGUGACCCUCUUCCUAAUCCCACUCGCUAUUGUCACCUCAUUGGCAGCCUGAUCUAUCUUGCUGUUACGCGUCCUGACAUCUCCUAUCCUGUCCACAUCCUGAGUCAGUUUGUCUCAGCUCCCAACUCUGUCCACUAUAGUCACCUCCUUCGUGUUCUACGAUAUCUUCGUGGCACAAUCUCUCAGCGCCUUUUCUUUCCCCGCUCCAGCUCUCUUGAGCUCCAGGCCUACUCUGAUGCUACCUGGGCUAGUGAUCCCUCUGAUCGUCGCUCGCUGUCUGCUUAUUGUGUCUUUCUUGGUGGCUCUCUCAUUGCCUGGAAGACAAAGAAACAGACUACAGUUUCUCGCUCAAGUACAGAGGCUGAGUUGCGAGCCAUGACUAUGUUGAUGGCUGAGGUGAUCUGGUUACGGUGAUUACUUGAGGAUUUUGGUGUGUCUGCUACUACCUCGACUCCUUUACUGUCAGACAGUAACGGUGCUAUCAGUAUUGCACGUGACCCGGUAAAGCAUGAGCUCACCAAGCAUAUCGGUGUGGAUGCCCACUUCGUGCGUGCUGCUGUGCAGGAUCAGACUCUCGCUCUUCACUAUGUGCCCUCUGAGUUACAGUUGGCUGACUUCUUCACGAAGGCACAGACUCGAGCGCAGCAUGGCUUUUUUCUCUCCAAACUCAGUGUNNNNNNNNNNNNNNNNNNNNNNNNNNNNNNNNNNNNNNNNNNNNNNNNNNNNNNNNNNNNNNNNNNNNNNNNNNNNNNNNNNNNNNNNNNNNNNNNNNNNNNNNNNNNNNNNNNNNNNNNNNNNNNNNNNNNNNNNNNNNNNNNNNNNNNNNNNNNNNNNNNNNNNNNNNNNNNNNNNNNNNNNNNNNNNAUGUGUACAGUCUCUGUUUGGUAUAUCCCCAUUGUAUAAGGGGUUUCCUGCACUUUGUCACACAUGUAUAUGUAAUGGCCUCUGGCCCUCAGUAAAGAUUAGUUGCUCAUUAUCCAACAACAUCCAUACGUGCGACAAGUAAUUUGGAACGGAGGGAGUACGUCAUAGGGCCAGCUGGCGCCGGCAAUAUGGAGAAAUUAUGCCCCAAACAAGUGCCGCAUCUUCUUUUUGCUUGCUCACAAGGACCGCCUCUUCACCAAUGAACGCCGCUUCCGCCGGGGCAUUGCUACUAUCGACUCAUGCCCCUUCUGUAACCACUGUGAAUCUAUCACUCACCUGCUGUUCCAAUGCCACCAGCUUGCCCCCAUUUGGGACGAACUAAACAGUCCAUGUCAAGGUACUCCCCAGGGUCUGUAUCACGCCUGGGAGGGGGAUAUAAACAACAAGUGUCGGUCAACUGUCCUGAUUGCCGUGCUUUGGAAUAUGUGGAAAAGGCGGAACGCCAAGGUCUUCAAGAAUGACCAUCAAAGUCUGCACCUGGUGUCCCGCUCAGCAGCAGAAUACCUUCGCCUCUGGUUGUAGGGUAAUGCGACAGAAAACAAAAAAUUUCCGACCUACGCACCAGCCCAGGACCACUAUGGAGACUGCAUACAUGGUUUGAUCUUUUUCGUUACCGACUCGUAGCGCAGCGGGAAGUAGAGUCGAUGACGAUCGGCGGUGCAGAUCCCCGCAGCAAGGAUUUACAACCUCCCAACCGCGAGGAUGUAUACCCUCAUCUGCUCCUCAGACAGCCCUCCGGGAGGCGGUCGAACAGCCCCCCGGACGGUGUCGCGGACAGCCCUUCGGGAGGACCUUCCAAACUCGAACGGUCACUCGGACAGCCCUUCGGGAGGACCUUCGAAACUCGGACGGUCACACGGACAGCCCUUCGGGAGGCACUCACGAACUAAGACCGAGACUACGAUCUCUCUACAGAGUUGCACACAUACGGUGUCAUCUAUCCGGCAGGGCUUCGCCGUCCAGAACUAGUUCCUGCCGGAACCCAGACAGCCUUACGGCUCUACGAAACUCUUUUCGUGGGAGGGAGAGAAGAAGCCAGAUAAUGCAUGGCAUGUGUAUGAGAGCAAGGGAUGAGUGUGGAGGGCUGCCCCUCCACCUCUAUGUAUAGGAAAUCCCAAGGGGGUAGGGUAGUUUCACAAAAAACCCAAAAUGCACAUGAAUGAAGUCCUUCCACAAGGACCUAGGAGUGAAACCAAGGAACAAGAGGGUCCCCAAGGGGGGAUACCCCAUGUGGCCGGCCACACCCCCAUGAGGGGCCCAAAAAAUGGCUCCUAUCCAUCCAUGUCAUCCCCAAGAUCUUUUGGAGCAAAGCCCCAAAAGGUGGCUUUCCAUAAAGUAACCAUAAAGCUGAUUUUCACUAUUCACGACGACAUUUUUCAGCGUCUGAUCGAACUGAAAAUAUUUAUGUGGGCUAAGAACAUUUCCAGUACCCACUAAAAUGAUUUUCAACGCGUUCCGAAACAAUUCCGGUUUUAGUGAUUUUCAUCUGCGAAACGCAUCUGAAGUGGCUCCGGCAGCUCCGGAACAUUUCCGGUUUGUAUCUCAGAAAAUUCCAAAAAGCUUCCAGAAUGAUUCUGGCAUCCUCCAAGAAUUAUCAGGCAUGUGCCGAAACCAAUUUGACUUAAUGGUGUAUCCCGAAACAACUUUUCGGUAUCAUCGAAACUUAUCCGAUGACCUCUCUCUGCGGCACGAUUCCGCUGUCCGAAACUUUUCGGUGUCCGAAACUUUUUCGGUGAUUUUCUCUCAGACUCCCUGUCUAGUAUUCAGCAGAUAGAUGACCCUUAAGCAUGUGACCCUAUAGGUUCGGUGAAGUAUAGACAUGACCCGGAACCCCUUCCGAUCAAUGAUCAACAUCGGAGCCGUGGACACCCAUAUUGACCCCUAUACCCACACGAAUAAAUAUUCGAGUGAACCUCCAGUUGCCGUGUGCUAUUCCUGUUGCUUCGCGAUAUGUUACAAAUACCCGAGGUGAGACAUGUUGGCAUUCCCGUGGAUCAACAACUUGUCCACUAUGCUAGUUACCUCGUUACCGGUAUUGUUCUCUUUUCUCGUUAUCGUGUUCCGGCAUCCCCGUGAUCAAAUCACAAAGUGUCUGGCCAGACGAUGAUGGAUACCGUAACACCGAGAGGGCCCAGAGAUAUCUCUCCAUCGUCGGAGGAGCAAAUCCCAAUCUUGAGCUAUCAAGUUACUUGACACACUUUUCCAUGAACCCGUAAGCCGCCGUAAUAGCCACCCAUUUACGGAUGACGUUUAACAAACCCCAAAGUUCAUGAAGCAAGCAUGAAGAAACUCGAUAUUCUCAUGGUCUAAGGAAUCAUGCAAACGUUAACCAUCUCUUUGUUAUGUACCAAUAAACUUGUGACGAAUGAAUCUCAUAGCAUAACAUCAUGCCGGGUCGAUUCAACACAAAUGUUCUCUUAACAUUAUGCCCUCAAGGUUGCUGACAUAGACAUGCCCAUGAUCAGGAAAACAUAACCAUCAUGCAACACUUGAGCUAGUCUUAGAGGCCAGACUAGGAAUACAUUUUACCGUUUAUUAUUCCACACGUGCAUAUGAGUCUUCCUCCGAGCCUCGUGGUUAUUGCAGACUCGAGAACCAUAGCAGUUAUAGCAUGGAACAUAAACAUAAUUAUGAACUCGGAGAUAAAUAAUAUCAUUUAUUAUUGCCUCUAGGGCAUAUCUCCUACAGACUCCCACUUGCACUAGAGUCAAUAAUCUAGCUUAUGCUAAUGCACUUCACACCUGUGGCACACCGGUGUAACUAUGCUUCGCUUGUGGUAUAGCCUGAUGUCCAACGGAUCUGAUGACUUCAGUUCCGUGUGUAUCUUUGCAUGUCCUCGCGUUUUCACGUUUUCACAAAAUUCAUAUUUUGUGUGGACUUGGCUUUGUAUGUAUGUGAAUCACAGGUCGAACCUGGAUUCCUCAGACUGAGUUAUGGAGCAACUACCUGCAGUACUGUCCCAUUGUCAAAAGCCAUCUUGGAACUAUACUAAGUUCAUGAAUGAACUAUAUGAUUCAACAUCUUCUUUGUCGCUUCUAAAGCGUCAACAUACUUAGCCCUUGUUAUAGAAUUCGCCACAGUAACUAGUUUGAACAAAUUCCAACUAACUGUGCCACACAUUGUGUGUUACACAAAACCCUUAAUUUAAAUCGAAAAUCGCAUGGAGAAAAGAUGAAGACUAUAUCGAUGUAACAUUUUACAACGAACUCUUCAUGAUCUCUGCUUGCGAGAAAACCAUGUCAUCAGUACUUACGCUAGUACUCUGUGACAUCUUUCACUGUUGUCCCAUGAUCAGUAAUUUGAUCACUUUGGUAUCCAUACUCGCAACACCUUGGGAGUAUCAGACAUAUCUGGUUGUUUUACAUACCAUGGAUUACAUGAUUAAUCCAAACACAAAAGUGUGUGGAAUCUACAUCAUGUAUUUUACUCAUCAGUGUUUUGGGACACCGAGUCUUGCAAAAACUCUUUCCAUGUGACUUUGGCAAGAAUCACUCCUUGGCGUUUUAAAUGCUAAAAGGUUUUAGCAUCUUGUCAAUAUGUAUUCAUUUCUUAGCCCCAUAAGGUAAAUCUAUCUCCAUAGAUCAUCAUGCCUAAUAUUGAGGCUAUUUAGCCUGCACUUCAUCGAAAAACUAUUUUCAAAUGAAGUCCUAAUUCAUGUCAAGAAAUUUAUUUCCAAUUACCAAUGUGCCAAGCACAUAAGGUUUUUAGAAAUAUUAUUACGCUCCCACUUACUUUCUUGAAUUACAAGCAUCUUCGUUACCCAUUGAUGAAGUCAAAACCCCUUUGACCAUUUCAUCAAAACACGAAGAUUCCAACUCCAUUUUGCUCUCUUCUGUCCAUUGCUGGAACUCUGAAGUUUGCAUACCUACUAGCAUCCUCUGGAUCGACAAAUUACUUUGGACUAUAUCAUAUACAAGUCCUAGCUUUCAUUUCCAUCAGAUGGAAAUCCUUUUAUCAUCCAUGUUUCAUAUCUCAUGAUUGAAAUAUGUAUUAAUUGCUAGUUCAACCCGAACCGACUUUAAGCAUCGCUACGAUGAAAACAACCUCAUCGUAGUCAACUCUUGAACUUGUUAUUUCAACAAGUCGAGCUUUAUGGAUAAAACAUUUUAUCCGUAUCAGUUUUAAGUUCCAUAAAUAUUCUUUAGACUCUAAGUCUUCCGAAAGGUGUAUCAAGGUUUUAAUCUUGAAUCACUUAUAUGGAAACUAACUCGGGUUGUAUUGGCAUUUAGCCAAUUCCGGAGUCAGGGCCCAUCAACGCUUCCUUGUGUAUCGUAGGUAUAAUGUUGUCUAACAACAAUAUCUCGUUUGCGCACCUGAGAGGUUUGCACGAGCCUUGCCUACGUGGUUCAGCUGCAAGUUCGACCGAAGUUCAUACAUAUUAUUGUAGAGACUUCCGUAUCAGUUGCAGUAGGAAACUCUGGAAUUACUUCCAAGGUCUCUUUCCUUUGAUCUGAUGACGUAGAUACUGUUUAUCUCGUCGAGUUGCACUAUUCUCCCACUCAACUUUUUGAAAGAACCAUUCUCUUUAAAAGCACACCGUUUCGCGGCAAAACUAUUUGCCUCGGUAUAGUGAGGGAGGAAUACCCAACAUUUUGGUAUAACCUACAAAGUAGCACUUGUCUGAUUUGGAAUAGGUUUGUAACCUUUUACACAAGCCCCAUAUUCCAAAUGUUUAAGAAAAGAUAUAACAUGGUUGGGCGUACCAUACCAUGGCUUCAUUUCAACAGACCCGAUGUAGCUCUUUUCAGUGUAAAAGCCGCAAUCUCUAAAGCAUCACUUUAAAAGGGAUAAUGGCAAAUUUAUUUAUGUCAUCUUUGACCUUACCAUGUCAUAAAUGGUUUGAUUACAUCUCCACGGACUUUCCACUUGCAGUGGUGUUCCGGGAGGUGCAAGUUUAUGAAACCCCUUUCACAACUCAUCAGACAUUCGCUAAACAUGUAACUCAAAUAUUCCUUUGUGCAAUCAAAUUGCAGAAACAUAAUUUUCUUGUUACAAUAACUUCUACUUCAUUUUUGAGAACCUUUCGAAUGAUUUCAAAAGAUCCAGACUUACGUCUCAUCAAGUAAAUAUCCAUAUAUCUACUUGAGUCAUUUCUGAAGAUAAAUAAAUCCACCAUUAACAACACUUAUCGGACUACACACAUAAAAUGUAUGAUCACUAAUAAGUUUGUUGUUCGUUCCUUAUGGCCUGUGAACGGUAUUUUAGUCACUUCACUUUUCGGAGGAAAGUUGCAAGUGUCAGAUGAUUCAAAAUCAAAAAGACUUCAAAAUCCAUCAUAAUGGAAUUUUCCAUGCGGGUUUCUCCAAUGUGACCAAAUGUAGUGCCACACUUGUGUGGUAUUCUUUUAGUCUUGCGACAUUUAGCGUCAGUGUUAUGGAUGUAUCAUAUUACCCUCAAUAUUCAUAACAUACGUCCCAUCGAUGAUGGAAGUAUGGCCCUUAUGUUAUUCAUAAUACUUAACAACAAUUGUUGUUUUUAUGAACAACUCUUUUGCAACAAACAUUGUGCAAUGGGCUAGAGUGUAUGAAACUCUAAAAUGAAUUAUGAAAAGUAAACCCAGAGGUAUUGUAUUAUUAUAAAUAUUCAUAACAUACAUCUCAUUCAUAAUGAAAGUAUGGCCCUUGUGUUAUUCAUAACAUCGAACAUAAAAAGUUCUCUUAUGAACAACCUUCUUGCAAGAUGCCUUAUGCAAUGGGAUAGAGUUUGUAAAACUCUAAAUGAAUUAUGAAAAUAAAUACAGACGGCAAUACACCGAUGGAAGGUAUAGUAACAUUUACUAUGUUCCCUGUGUAUACCUUAACCUCAUUUCUAGCUAGUCUUUCAGGCCAUAUUAGUUCUUACAUCGAGUUGCAACAGAAUGCAAUCGAGCGGGCAUUUUUGUAAUGAACUCACAAUACCCAAGAAUUAGUGAUUAACAUAUUUAACCAUAAUUCGCAAGAACUAUAUCUUUGACCAGCCUUCUAUACAUCAAAAACUUGUAUGACAUUCAUACAUGAGCUGGAUAUUCCAGUCUUCUUUCCUUUUGCCUUUAUACUUCUAACAGUUUAACUUUUAGUAUUUCUCCUACUCUCAGAAGAAGCACCCAACUUAAGAGUGGCAUUAGCCCCGGACUUCCUAGGCGUGUAAGUCAUACUAACACCCUUUGGACACUUCCUUUCUCUUUAAGUUGUUGUUUUAUUCACCUUUCAUUAUAUGACAGGCGUUCUUCUGGAUCCCUUUCCCAACAGUCAAAUGCAUAGUAAACAAUUUUACUAAUACUUGCAAACAAACAUUGCUUUGUUUGUAUCUGAAAAUAAUUUUCAGUUCCAUGAAUAUCAUAUAACUAUCCCAACUUUCGAAGUUUGGGUUUCAUGGAAGCAAACAUAUUCCACUUGACUGUAAUAGAAUUCUAGCUUUUGGAUCGAAGGACGAGAGUCACAUGAUCCAUAGCAUUAGCGGGAGGAUACGGAAAGCAUGUGAUAGGACAAAGUCCUUCUCGGCACUUUUGAGGACAAUCCUCAUAUUAUGUUACCAAUCGUAAAGUUUUAACCAGAUAUUUAACAGCUAUUCAAUUUUAAUAGGGAAGGUGGAAAUGCGAGCCAUUAUUCUACAACUAUUAUGCAAAGAACUCUUAGACAGUGUUCAUAAUUAAUUGCACUGAGAAUUAAACAUGUUAAUUCAACAGUGCGCUCCCACUAAAAUCAAUAUCUCUCACAAUUAAUUUUGAGUGAUACAAGAUCCAGACUUCAAUUCAUCGCCAUAGAAUCAUCAUCUCAUAACGGGAAUUUUAAUCGGUAGGCCAACUUGCCGAUCACAUCUCUAUGUGACUCUUGCUCAUCUUUCGAUGCGUGUGUUCCGAGCUCAGGACGAUCCUGCCAUGAACGUCAAGACAACCAAGUGAACUUGUUGCGAGGUCUAACCUCACCCGCCUCACACUUCUCUAAUCGUUCGUACCCAUGCAUCCAUGGCGCACCCCGAAAAGAUAGGUGCCGUGACGGUGCUACACUUGGGAGAACACUAACUACUUGAUAUUUUAAGUGAGAGAUCACCCUAAUAAAAGCGACUACCGCGCAAUCAAGAAGGGUGCAUCAUAAGGGAUAAACAUCUCAGGCAAUUCAUAACAACAUGAUAUGGUAUAGCCCUUUCUGACGGAGAAGUAUUUCAUUUCUUCGUCUUCGGCAUUCGCGUCGGUGUUCACCUUCGCGAAGAUUGCCACCACCUUGUCGAAGCACCAGAUAAUAUUGCUAUCUCUAUAGCUAACAAAAUAAUGCAUUACAACAAGGUUGACACGCAGGUCAUUAAAGUGCAAUCAUAUGGCUCCAGCCAUCAUGCCGAAUCAUGACACGCAGGUCAUGUUAAUCAAAUUACAUCAUAUAGUCAUCUCAUACAUAAUCGAAUUAGUAUGAGCACUGCUAUACCACAUCACAUGCACAUCCUGCAAAACCAAGUUAGACGCCUCUAAUAGGUUUAUGCAAAAUUUUAUUUUACGUGGCUUCUAAGGUUUUGACUUAAACCGUAGCUACCAACGUUUUAUCAUCAAGUAUGAUUAUUCAAGUUGCUACAUUAACAUCUCGGGGUGUAUAAAACACGAGAUAAUUAAAUCUCGAGCCCCAUACUAAACUUCGUCAUACGCAUGACCCCCGUGCAGAUAAUAUCUGCAAUGCCCUUUCAUCUGCGAAUUUCAUCUUUCUUUUGACUACGGCAGAACCCAAAGAACUGAUAGCACUUCCAUGAUCAAUCAGGAUCACGGAUUGCCAGAACUUUGUCAAAUUCCACCAUGUUGUCUCGAGAUUGAGCAAACGCAAAUUCUAGGGAAGCAACAAGAACGUCGGGUAACAGAUUUCAUCUGUCACCCGCAUAAAUAAUUUUCAGCAAUAGAUCUCAUCUACUACCUAAUUAUAUUAUGCAAUACCCAUACAUCUCCAUGUAUUCUAGAUCGAAACCUGCAUCUACGCAUAGCACGGCUCUUGAUGCCACUGUAGGGUAACGCGACAGAAAACAAAAAAUUUCCGACCUACGCACCAGCCCAGGACCACUAUGGAGACUGCAUACAUGGUUUGAUCUUUUUCGUUACCGACUCGUAGCGCAGCGGGAAGUAGAGUCGAUGACGAUCGGCGGUGCAGAUCCCCGCAGCUAGGAUUUACAACCUCCCAACCGCGAGGAUGUAUACCCUCAUCUGCUCCUCAGACAGCCCUCCGGGAGGCGGUCGAACAGCCCCCCGGACGGUGUCGCGGACAGCCCUUCGGGAGGACCUUCGAAACUCGAACGGUCACUCGGACAGCCCUUCGGGAGGACCUUCGAAACUCGGACGGUCACACGGACAGCCCUUCGGGAGGCACUCACAAACUAAGACCGAAACUACGAUCUCUCUACAGAGUUGCACACAUACGGUGUCAUCUAUCCGGCAGGGCUUCGCCGUCCAGAACUAGUUCCUGCCGGAACCCAGACAGCCUUACGGCUCUACGAAACUCUUUUCGUGGGAGGGAGAGAAGAAGCCAGAUAAUGCAUGGCAUGUGUAUGAGAGCAAGGGAUGAGUGUGGAGGGCUGCCCCUCCACCUCUAUUUAUAGGAAAUCCCAAGGGGGUAGGGUAGUUUCACAAAAAACCCAAAAUGCACAUGAAUGAAGUCCUUCCACAAGGACCUAGGAGUGAAACCAAGGAACAAGAGGGUCCCCAAGGGGGGAUACCCCAUGUGGCCGGCCACACCCCCAUGAGGGGCCCAAAAAAUGGCUCCUAUCCAUCCAUGUCAUCCCCAAGAUCUUUUGGAGCAAAGCCCCAAAAGGUGGCUUUCCAUAAAGUAACCAUAAAGCUGAUUUUCACUAUUCACGACGACAGUUUUCAGCGUCUGAUCGAACUGAAAAUAUUUAUGUGGGCUAAGAACAUUUCCAGUACCCACUAAAAUGAUUUUCAACGCGUUCGAAACAAUUCCGGUUUUAGUGAUUUUCAUCUGCGAAACGCAUCUGAAGUGGCUCCGGCAGCUCCGGAACAUUUCCGGUUUGUAUCUCAGAAAAUUCCAAAAAGCUUCCAGAAUGAUUCUGGCAUCCUCCAAGAAUUAUCAGGCAUGUGCCGAAACCAAUUUGACUUAAUGGUGUAUCCCGAAACAACUUUUCGGUAUCAUCGAAACUUAUCCGAUGACCUCUCUCUGCGGCACGAUUCCGCUGUCCGAAACUUUUUCGGUGAUUUUCUCUCAGACUCCCUGUCUAGUAUUCAGUAGAUAGAUGACCCUUAAGCGUGUGACCCUAUAGGUUCGGUGAAGUAUAGACAUGACCCGGAACCCCUUCCGAUCAAUGAUCAACAUCGGAGCCGUGGACACCCAUAUUGACCCCUAUACCCACACGAAUAAAUAUUCGAGUGAACCUCCAGUUGCCGUGUGCUAUUCCUGUUGCUUCGCGAUAUGUUACAAAUACCCGAGGUGAGACAUGUUGGCAUUCCCGUGGAUCAACAACUUGUCCACUAUGCUAGUUACCUCGUUACCGGUAUUGUUCUCUUUUCUCGUUAUCGUGUUCCGGCAUCCCCGUGAUCAAAUCACAAAGUGUCUGGCCAGACGAUGAUGGAUACCGUAACACCGAGAGGGCCCAGAGAUAUCUCUCCAUCGUCGGAGGAGCAAAUCCCAAUCUUGAGCUAUCAAGUUACUUGACACACUUUUUCAUGAACCCGUAAGCCGCCGUAAUAGCCACCCAUUUACGGAUGACGUUUAACAAACCCCAAAGUUCAUGAAGCAAGCAUGAAGAAACUCGAUACUCUCAUGGUCUAAGGAAUCAUGCAAACGUUAACCAUCUCUGUGUUAUGUACCAAUAAACUUGUGACGAAUGAAUCUCAUAGCAUAACAUCAAUCCGGGUCGAUUCAACACAAAUGUUCUCUUAACAUUGUGCCCUCAAGGUUGCUGACAUAGACAUGCCCAUGAUCAGGAAAACAUAACCAUCAUGCAACACUUGAGCUAGUCUUAGAGGCCAGACUAGGAAUACAUUUUACCGUUUAUUAUUCCACACGUGCAUAUGAGUCUUCCUCCGAGCCUCGUGGUUAUUGCAGACUCGAGAACCAUAGCAGUUAUAGCAUGGAACAUAAACAUAAUUAUGAACUCGGAGAUAAAUAAUAUCAUUUAUUAUUGCCUCUAGGGCAUAUCUCCUACACUGGUCUCAUCGCUGCUCCAACUCUGCCAACCAGAUUCUGCUUCGAGAGUGGGGCUCCAUGUUGUUUCACCUAGCUGCGAGAUUAUAGCUUAAGCUCUCACUGUAACCCUCCCCCGCUUCCCUCCCCAACCGCCUGUAUCUCUGGUUCUCUAUGUAAUUUCGACUGGUCAUUUUGGUAAUAAAGGUUCAGGCAGGCGUAAGCCCGCCGUUGACGCGUCAAAAAAAAACAUUUCAGUAUAGAAAAUUACAACCUACAGUUAAUUUCACCAUGUGAGAUUCAUUCACCACAAUUACUAGAUAUAUUCUUAUGUCAAGUUUCAGUAAAAAAAAUACAUCUUACAGGCAAUUUCAUAUAUCCACUAGACAAAUCAAAAGAGAAGAUUUCACCGUGUGAGAUUCAUUCACCACAUUACCGACCAUGUCAACUGGAGCAACACAACAUGUACCUGUAUCUUACAUAGAUUUUUACGACAACGAUACUCAGACAACCCACACUGAAGCACACACGCCCGCUUAUACAUAAUCUGUAUGUUAACUACUCGUCUGGAUGAUAUCUGAACGAAGAAGAUGGCCAACUGUCCCUGUACUGUAUCGUAGCAAGCUACUGAAUAGAUGCAAAUUUUGUUAAGGAAAGAGAAUUAUGCAAAUUCACUUUAUAGCAAUCUGUCCUUUACUACUACUAAACAGCAAGUGAUUAAACAUAUGUACAAUAAUUUCCAGUGGUACCGCGUUCGGUUUUCUUUCUACAACAGCACAGGUGGCUUCAAAGGGCUUGCUUGGGUUUUUUCCUAGCGAGGACUAUUCUAUUGUAAUUACAUUCAGAAUCUUGUAAGCUGCCAAUGAACUCUGAUUGAUCUCCCUGCAUGCAGCUGUAUAGAAUCAUAUAAACAGGAACUAUGCACCAGCACGGUACGCUAUCCCUUAUAUAAACAGCAUCGUAUAGAAUUGCAUUCAGUUUUUUUUCUAUAUCAACACAGGCAGCUUCACAGCUCAUAAGGUGAGCACCAUGUGCUUGUUUAACCAGUUUAAGAUCCAUGGUUAUUAUCAGGUGCACCACUAUCACUAGGGGCUAGUAAUUAAGUGACAGUACGCAAAGUCCCAUCUCGUUCAGAGAAAUGAAUACUACGGCAAAAUUGGCUACAGGACACUCCAACUUGAAAUUAUGGUUAUUUGAUUUGCUGGAAAAUAGUGAAAUACUAAUCUCGGCUCCAUUACGAAUUAUCUGGGUGAAAUGUCGAUAUUGCCCUCGGAACUCCAAUAUAUAAGAGCCCACACUCUGGCUGAAUGACAGAGCCACCACUCACCACGGGAGUUCUCUUCUCUUCUCUUCUCUUCUACAGUACGACUGUGAGUGUGAGGCCAAGGAGAUGGAGGGGAAGAAUAGAGUGGCCGCCAUUGCCGCCCUGUGCAUGCUCCUUCUCCUCACGCUGCCAAAGCCAUCCCAUCAGCAGCCCUCCGGAGUCAACUGCAAGUGCUACCGGCGGUGCUACCCUGCGUGCAAGGAAAGGAUCCAGCCGUUGCCCUGCAAGGUCAAGUGUGCUGGUCGCUGCCCCGACGCCAUUGAUCGCCUUGCCUCCUGCUUGAUCGCCUGUGGCAUGGACUCCAUCUGUGACCAGCCAGCGCUGUCAGUCGGUAAGACACUAACCACCUGUCUUGCAUCGAUAGAAUAUUCGAUAGAAUAUGUGUUUUCAUCACACAAACUGUAUGGAUGCGUUUGCACUGUUUAUGAAUUAUCAUGUACAGUGGUAGAAUAUUUUCUUUUGUGGGGGAUAUAUUGACAGAAUGUGUUCUUUUCACUAAGGGAAAAGGAACCGUCUGUUCUGAUGAUCUUGGACUAUUUUGCAGAUGUUGAGGUUUGCAGGAAUGUCUGCCACGAUAUGUGGGUGGCGAGUGGCGCCAACUAACCUUGAAGGGCUGCGAGCAGGUCGGUCAUGGGAUCAUAAACAUAUGAUGUCGAACAGCUGUGGUUGCUGCAUCAGUUGAUCAAAUGUGUUUCGCUUUGGUGCAUCACUUGUGUGAAAAUUUGCCAAUCUUAAGAUUAUCGAUGUAUGUGGAAACCCUGCUUAUUUUGAUUCAUCUAUAAUAUUACUCUCCUCUGUCCAGAUGGCAAGAGCAAACUAUUUAUCUUCUUUUUAAGAGGAAUAAGCGACAUAUAAGGUUAACACGUUAAAAAAUACAAACAUCAACAAACUCAUUCAAGCCUUGCCUGAAUGUUAACAAAAGCAAAAUAAUUCAAAAUUCAUCAGUGUGAACAAGAUAAACAAUCACCAAGAACAAACGCAGAAAAUGGGGCCUAAAUAGAAACCUGACGCAGAAUAAAAAACCAGUGAAAAGACGAACUCGUACCUAAUGAAGGAAGCAGGAUCAAUUGGAAAGUACAGAGUACUAACUAACAGAAGCAAGCGAACAAGCCACUUCUGCAUCUUGACCACCAGAACGUAAUUCAUGGAAAUCAUGGAAUCAGUCAAACCAAUCUGUAAAAGGCAUUCAUGGAAAGCUGGUAAAGUUAUAUCUGUAGAUUUGUAUCACUCAAACAGUAAAGAUUAGCUAAACAAUCUUAAAAUUUGUGCCAAAAGCUCUGACGUGAAAUCACCACGGAAUUAUUAGACAACACUAACAUCAGAAACAGAGAACAAUAGGUAAUUUGAGGCACACCUUCAACUUGGCAGUUUUUGGCAAAAUCUGGUGCCAAGAGAGGCUAAACGAUCAAUGGGCAUAUAAUGCGUUCAUGGAGUAGGAAAGCAGAAAAAUCUGGUUUCUAGCUCACCGGCAAUACCUUUUAGAAAUACACAAGAUAGCAAGUUGCUGCCAAAUUGAGUUGAAUACAAUUCAUACAAGUAGAAGCAUCUAGUACACGAUCAAAACAAUACUUUGACAACUACUUCCUUCGGUUCAAAACAGAUGUCAGUUUUGCCCUACACAGCAUCAAAAACAAUACUUUGACCACUACUUCUAAUGAUAUGUAAUACAGUACUAUUUUCAUAAAAAGUGCAAUUCGUGAUGAAAGCAAUAUUAACGGUGAAUCAAAGUCCAAUUUGAUCAUGUGUUAAAUAUAUAGUGCUAAACAUCUACUCCCUCCGUUCCAAAAUAGAUGACUCAACUUUGUACUAACUUUAGUACAAAGUUAGGUCAUCUAUUUUGAAACGGAGGGAGUACAUACCAAGAUUUGAGAAAUUAGAUUGUCACAAAAAAAGCUACAUACAGUUUGGAUUAAACAAUAACCAAUGACAUAUGCUAGAAAUGAGAGAUAUGCUAAGAAAAUAUGUAACCAAACUACCUAACACUAAAUAUAUUCAUUUGUAGUCACAUUUCAGUAAAGAAAUAGUACCUUCACGUAUCUACCAGACCAAUCAAAAGAGAAGAUUCCACUGUGCGAGAUUCAUUCACCCCAUUCCCGAGCAUGUCGAGAGGAGCAACACAACAUGUCCCGUAGAACACACAGUUUUCUAACGACGACAAUAAUCACACACCCAACACACUGAAGCACACACGCCCGGGUAUGUAUACAUUAUCUGUAUGGUUAACUCAUCAAAGAAUUCAAAUUCAAACAUUAGCCAACUCACCAAAGCCUUCACCAUAUCUCAAAAAAGAAAUAAAUUAUCACAGUGGCAUUGCUACUUAACAUAUGCAAAUUUUGUUGAAGAAAAAGAGAAUUGUGCAAAUUCAGUUCAUAGGGGAUGUCUUUCCAGGCAGACAGUUCACAUUUGCAGGCACUUAAAAUAGAAAUCUCUCCCUCACUACUACUAAAGAGCAUUGUAUGAAAAUGCUCUUAUAUUAUGGGAGGGAGGGAGUAGGUCUACAUCAGCACAAUUAAUCUAGAGGCUGAAUUCGGUUUUCUGUCUACAUCAUAACAAUCUCCACCUGACAGAGAGUUCACAUUUUCAGGCACUUAAAAUAGCAAUCUCUCCCUCACUACAUCACUACUACUGAUUGAGUCGGCAAUUGUAUGAAAACUGCUACUCACUGCAUUUGGUUUUCUAUCUACAUCAGCACAGGUCUCUUCACAGGGAAAACAGAAAGAUGGGCAGCAUGAGCUUGUCUAAUCAUGUCAUCUUGCUUAAAGUGUUACUCCGUUCUUAUGAACAUAAUACUCUAGAUGCAUGCUGGAUAGCGGUCGAUGUAUGGAGUAAUAGUAGUAGAUGCAGGCAGGAGUGGGUCUACUUGUCAGGGACGUGAUGCCUAUAUACAUGAUCAUACCUAGAUAUUCUCAUAACUAUGCUCAAUUCUAUCAAUUGCUCGACAAUAAUUUGUUCACCCACCGUAAUACUUAUGCUCUUGAGAGAAGACACUAGUGAAACCUAUGGCCCCCGGGUCUAUUCUCUAUCAUAUUAAUCUACCGUUAUUUCUAUUACCGUUUAUUUUGCUUUCUUUACUUUUAGUCUUUAUCAUAAAAAUACCAAAAAUAUUAUCUUAUCAUCUCUAUCAGAUCUCACUUUUGCAAGUGGCCGUGAAGGGAUUAACAACCCCUUUAUCGUGUUGGUUGCAAGGUUCUUAUUUGUUUGUGUAGGUACGAGGGACUUGCAUGUGGCCUCCUACUGGAUUGAUACCUUAGUUCUCUAAAACUGAGGGAAAUACUUACGCUACUUUACUGCAUCACCCUUUCCUCUUCAAGGGAAAGCCAACGCAGUGCUCAAGAGGUAGCAAGAAGGAUUUCUGGCGCCGUUGCCGGGGAGUCUACGCACAAGUCAAGACAUACCAAAGUACCCAUCACAAACUCUUAUCCCUCGCAUUACAUUAUUUGCCAUUUGCCUCUCGUUUUCCUGUCCCCCACUUCACCCUUGCCGUUUUAUUCGCUUUCUUUUUCGUUUGCCUUUUUCUCGCCAGAUCUAUUGUUUGCUUGUGUUACCAUGUGCCUUCUAUUUGCUUGCAUCUUUGCUUGCUAAAAAUCUAUUGAUAUGGAUCCAGUUAAAGUGUUCUACUUGGAUCAUCUUCGAUCCUUAUGCGCUCGUGAUGAAACCCCAACUAGCCUACUUGAUGGGAAAUCUUUAGAUGAGCAUGCUCAUUUUGUGCGUCACCGUUUGUCUGAAAAGGGGAGACUCUUAUGGGAUCAAAUAAACAGAUUGAUGUGUUAUGCUUGGAAUCUUUGUGAAAUUUAUGAUUUUACUUGUUGCUCUGAAAACAUUAAGAAACACCUUCCCUACCAAUGUGAGUUUAGUGAUAAUGGAAUCGUAUCUUCGUAUGCUAAGGGUGUUUAUAAUUACUAUGAUGUUCAACAAAUUGAAGAAUUUGUUGCUUUUAAGGGUGCUUAUGAAAUUUCUUCUUUGAUUGAAACGUAUGAUGCUACUCUUUAAAAAUCUGAAAAUUUUGCCAUACUUAAAUAUUGUUAUGAUAAUUAUGCUUCCAAUGCCUAUGUUAAACCAUAUAUUGAGGACUCCUCCGCUGUCCAAGAAGAGGCUAAUAUUUUGCAGGAGUCUAUGGAGCAAGAAAAUAAUGAUAUGCAUGAAUCUAUAGAUAAUUAUGAUUCCGAUGAUUUGAUUGAAAUAUCCCUUGAUGAACAUGAUGCUUGCUAUUCUUGUGGCCAUGCUGCCAAUAUUUAUAAAGAUGAAUUUGCUAUAGUUCCAUAUGUUAAACAUGAGAUCGUUGCUAUUGCACCCAUACUUGAUAGUUCCUUUGAUGAAAAGCAUGAUCGCAAUGAUGUUAUAAUAAAUUCUCUUGAUGUCAGUUGUGCUAAUAAUAUGCAAAACCCUAAGCUUGGGGAUGCUAGUUUUGCUAUGUCUACUACUUGUUGCAAUGAUCAUGAUUGGGGUGAUUCUUCUUUUGAUCUUGAAAAUUUGCUUAAGCCCCAUGAUGAAUAUGAGAUUGAUAAUAGUGUUUGCAAAUAAUAUUGAAAGUGGUUUUGGAAGAGUGUCAACUUUAGAUCCCAUAUAUUUGGAGAAUUUUCAAGCUUAUGAAGUUUUUGAUAAAAGUGGGUUUGGAGAGGUCAUGACUUUAGCUAAUGUAAAUCCCACUAUUUUGGAAGAGUGUCAACUUUGCAUGCAUGUGGAUCGUGUUGAAAAUAUUUUACGUGAUAGCUAUUUUGUUGAAUUUUCUUAUGAUCCCACAUGUAAUGUAUGAGAGAGGAAAAUAUGACUGUAGAUAUUUUCAUGUUACUAAAUUACCUCUCGUUAUGUUGACAUUGCUAUUGUUUCUUUCCGCUUCCUUGCAUAUGCUAGUUUUUGUUUGCCUUGAUAAUUUGUUUGCCUAUAAGAUGCCUAUGCAUAGGAAGUAUGUUAGACUUAUAUAUGUUUUUCACAUGCUAUAUGAUGCUCUCUUUGUGCUUCAAUUCUUGUCUUUCAUGUGAGCAUCAUCGAAAUUAUCGAUGCCUAGCUAGGGGCGUUAAACGAUAGCGCUUGUUGGGAGGCAACCCAAUUUUAUUUUAAUUUUCUUGAUUUUUAUUUCUGUUUAGUAAUAAAUCUUUGAUCUAGCCUCUGGUUAGAUGUGUUUUUAUGUUUUAAUUAGUGUUUGUGCCAAGUGAAACCUAUAGGAUCUUCUUGGAUGAUAGUUAUUUGAUCUUGCUGAAAAUUCCAGAAACUUUCUGUUCACGAAAACAAUUGUUUAAAAUCACCAGAACAAUACUGAUUCCAAUUGCACUAGAUCAAUAAACAAAUUAUCUAGGUCUUCCUAUUUUGGUAGAUUUUUCUGAGUUCCAGAAGUUUGCGUUAGAUACAGAUUAGUACAGACUGUUCUGUUUUUGACAGAUUCUGUUUUUCGUAUGUUGUUUGCUUAUUUUGAUGAAUCUAUGGCUAGUAAAAGAGUUUAUAAACCAUAUAGAAGUUGGAAUACAGUAGGUCUAACACCAAUAUAAAUAAAGAAUGAGUUCAUUACAGUACCUUGAAGUGGUCUUUUGUUUUCUUUCACUAACGGAGCUCAUGAGAUUUUCUGUUAAGUUUUGUGUUGUGAAGUUUUCAAGUUUUGGGUAAUGAUUUGAUGGAUUACGCAACAAGGAUUCGCAAGAGCCUAAGCUUGGGGAAGCCCAAGGCACCCCAAGGUAAAAUUCAAGGGCAACCAAAAGCCUAAGCUUGGGGAUGCCCUAGAAGGCAUCCCCUCUUUCGUCUUCGUCUAUCGGUAACUUUACUUGGGGCUAUAUUUUUAUUCACCACAUGAUAUGUGUUUUGCUUGGAGCGUCUUGUAUGAUUUGAGUCUUUGCUUUUUAGUCUACCACAAUCAUCCUCGCUGUACACACCUUUUGAGAGAGACACACAUCAUUCGGAAUUUGUUAGAAUACUCUAUGUGCUUCACUUAUAUCUUUUGAGCUAUAUAGUUUUUGCUCUAGUUCUUCACUUAUAUCUUUUAGAGCACGGUGGUGGUUUUAUUUUAUAUAAAUUAUUGAUCUCUCAUGCUUCACUUAUAUUAUUUUGAGAGUCUUAAACAGCAUGGUAAUUUGCUUAAAUUGAGAAAUUAGUCUUAAUAUGAUAGGCAUCCAAGAUUAGUAAAAGCUUUCUUAUAAGUGUGUUGAAUACUAAGAGAAGUUUGAUACUUGAUAAUUGUUUUGAGAUAUGAAGAUGGUGAUAUUAGAGUCAUGCUAGUUGAGUAGUUGUGAAUUUGAGAAAUACUUGUUCUAAAGUUUGGUGAUUCCCGUAGCAUGCACGUAUGGUGAACCGUUAUGUGAUGAAGUCGGAGCAUGAUUUAUUUAUUUAUUGUCUUCCUUAUGAGUGGCGGUCGGGGACGAGCGAUGGUCUUUUCAGACCAAUCUAUCCCCCUAGGAGCAUGCGUGUAGUACUUUGUUUCGAUAACUAAUAGAUUUUUGCAAUAAGUAUGUGAGUUCUUUAUGACUAAUGUUGAGUCCAUGGAUUAUACGCACUCUCACCCUUCCACCAUUGCUAGCCUCUCUAAUACCGUGCACCUUUCGCCGGUAUCAUACACCCACCAUAUACCUUCCUCAAAACAGCCACCAUACCUACCUAUUAUGGCAUUUACAUGGCCAUUCCGAGAUAUAUUCCCAUGCAACUUACCACCGUUUGGUUUAUUAUGACACACUUCAUCAUUGUCAUAUUGCUUUGCAUGAUCAUGUAGUUGACAUCGUUUUUGUGGCAAAGCCACGUUUCAUAAUUUUCAUACAUGUCACUCUUGAUUCAUUACAUAUCCCAGUACACCGCCGGAGGCAUUUACAUAGAGUCAUAUUUUGUUCUAAGUAUUUAGUUGUAAUUCUUGAGUUGUAAGUAAUACAAGUGUGAUGACCAUCAUUAUUAGAGCAUUGUCCCAUGUGAGGAAACGAUAAUGGAGGCUAUGAUUCCCCCACAAGUCGGGAUGAGACUCCGGAUGAAAAGAAAACAAAGAAAAAAAAGAGGCCAUAAAAAAGAAAAAAAGGCCCAAACAAUGAAAAAAAUAUAAAAAAGAGAGAAAAAGAGAGAAGGGAUAAUGUUAAUAUCCUUUUACCACACUUGUGCUUCAAAGUAGCACCAUGAUCUUCAUGAUAGAGAGUCUCCUAUGUUGUCACUUUCAUAUACUAGUGGGAAUUUUACAUUAUAGAACUUGGCUUGUAUAUUCCAAUGAUGGGCUUCCUCAAAAUUGCCCUAGGUCUUCGUGAGCAAGCGAGUUGGAUGCACACCCACUUAGUUUCUUUUGUUGAGCUUUCAUACACUUAUAGCUCUAGUGCAUCCGUUGCAUGGCAAUCCCUACUCACUCAUAUUGAUAUCUAUUGAUGGGCAUCUCCAUAGCCCGUUGAUACGCCUAGUUGAUGUGAGACUAUCUUCUCCUUUUUUUGUCUUCUCCACAACCACCAUUCUAUUCCACAUAUAGUGCUAUGUCCAUGGCUCACGCCCAUGUAUUGCGUGAAGAUUGGAAAAGUUUGAGAACAUCAAAAGUAUGAAACAAUUGCUUGGCUUGUCAUCAGGGUUGUGCAUGAUUAAAUACUUUGUGUGAUGAAGAUAGAGCAUAGCCAUACUAUAUGAUUUUGUAGGGAUAACUUUCUUUGGCCAUGUUAUUUUGAGAAGACAUGAUUGCUUUGUUAGUAUGCUUGAAGUAUUAUUAUUUUCAUGUCAAUAUUAAACUUUUGUCUUGAAUCUUUCGGAUCUGAAUAUUCAUGCCACAAUAAAAAGAAUUACAUUGAAAAUUAUGCUAAGAAGCAUUCCACAUCAAAAAUUCCGUUUUUAUCAUUUACCUACUCGAGGACGAGCAGGAAUUAAGCUUGGGGAUGCUUGAUACGUCUCCAACGUAUCUAUAAUUUUUGAUUGUUCCAUGCUACUAUAUUAUCUGUUUUGGAUGUUCAAUGGGCUUAUUAUACACUUUUAUAUUAUUUUUGGGACUAACCUAUUAACCGGAGGCCCAGCCCAAAUUGCUGUUUUUUUUGCCUAUUUCAGUGUUUCACAGAAAAGGAAUAUCAAACGGAGUCCAAACCUUCGGGAGAGUUAUUUUUGGAACAAACGUGAUCUAGAGGACUUGGAGUGGACGUCAAGAAAUCACCGAGGAGGCCACGAGGCAGGGGGGCACGCCUACCCCCCUGGGCGUGCCCUCCACCCUCGUGGGCCCCUCGUAGCUCCACCGACCUACUUCUUCCUCCUAUAUAUACCUAUGUACCCUGAAAACAUCAUACACGGAGCCAAAACCCUAUUUCCACCGCCGCAACCUUCUGUACCCAUGAGAUCCCAUCUUGGGGCCUUUUCCAGCGCUCCGCCGGAGGGGGCAUUGAUCACGGAGGGCUUCUACAUCAACACCACAGCCUCUUCGAUGAUGUGUGAGUAGUUUACCUCAGACCUUCGGGUCCAUAGUUAUUAGCUAGAUGGCUUCUUCUCUCUCUUUGGAUCUCAAUACAAAGUUCUCCUCGAUCUUCUUGGAGAUCUAUUCGAUGUAAUCUUCUUUUUGCGGUGUGUUUGUCGAGAUCCGAUAAAUUGUGGGUUUAUGAUCAAGAUUAUCUAUGAACAAUAUUUGAAUCUCCUCUGAAUCUUUUAUGUAUGAUUGGUUAUCUUAGCAAGUCUCUUCGAAUUAUCCGUUUGGUUUGGCCUACUAGAUUGAUCUUUCUUGCAAUGGGAGAAGUGCUUAGCUUUGGGUUCAAUCUUGCUGUGCUCGAUCCCAGUGACAGUAGGGGAAACGAUACGUAUUGUAUUGUUGUCAUCGAGGAUAAAAAGAUGGGGUUUAUAUCAUAUUCCAUGAGUUUAUUCCUCUACAUCAUGUCAUCUUGCUUAAAGCGUUACUCCGUUCUUAUGAACUUAAUACUCUAGAUGCAUGCUGGAUAGCGGUCGAUGUGUGGAGUAAUAGUAGUAGAUGCAGGCAGGAGUCGGUCUGCUUGUCACGGAUGUGAUGCCUAUAUACAUGAUCAUACCUAGAUAUUCUCAUAACCAUGCUCAAUUCUAUCAAUUGCUCGACAGUAAUUUGUUCACCCACCGUAAUACUUAUCCUCUUGAGAGAAGCCACUAGUGAAACCUAUGCCCUCCGGGUUUAUUCUCUAUCAUAUUAAUCUACCGUUAUUUCUAUUACCGUUUAUUUUGCUUUCUUUACUUUUAGUCUUUAUCAUAAAAAUACCAAAAAUAUUAUCUUAUCAUCUCUAUCAGAUCUCACUUUUGCAAGUGGCCAUGAAGGGAUUGACAACCCCUUUAUCGCGUUGGUUGCAAGGUUCUUAUUUGUUUGUGUAGGUACGAGGGACUUGCGUGUGGCCUCCUACUGGAUUGAUACCUUGGUUCUCAAAAACUGAGGGAAAUACUUACGCUACUUUACUGCAUCACCCUUUCCUCUUCAAAGGAAAACCAACUCAGUGCUCAAGAGGUAGUAGUGGCGGACGCCGUUGCUUAUACAAAUACCCCUGAAGCAACCUUCCAUUGCAACCUGAUUCCAGCUGGCUAUGCUCAUGUCGUGGUUGAUGAAGUGGUGGCACAAUAUUCAGGGCUAGAGCUUGACAUUCCUGGAGGUGACGACGAUCACACACUGGGAGAGGCCAUACAUCGUAUCAUCCUAUGGAGAAAGGAUUGCAUCAUCUUUCCAACAAGGCCACCGACACCGCGUCAGCCGACUCCUCCUCGAAGUCCGCCACCGCGGCAGCAGACUCCCGCUCCUCCAAGUCAUCAGCCACCGCCUCAGCGGAGUCUUGCUCCUUCAAGUCCACCAACUCGUCAGGCCGCUCCUCCUCCUCCAAGACCGGCACCGUGUCAGGCCACUCCUCCUCCAAGUCCGGCAACACGUCAGCCCACUCCUCCUGUUCGUGAUUUACACAAAUCCUAUUCGUGAUUUACCUUAUAUUUUGAUGAGAAAUUUGGUAAAUAAAUUAAAGUGGAAUUAGUUUAGAAGGUAGAUAAAUUAAGGUGAUUGAUUAUGAUACGGUGAAGGUUGGGCGAAAGGGUGGUGGGAAGAAAAGUGAAACAUGAAAUCUUACAUUCUUAUUAAGUAGUACUAGCUAAUUGCCCGUGCGUUGCAACGGGGUCACACAAAUUUUAAGAGUUCAAUAUUAAUCAUGUCAACAAUACAUUUAGUUUUAGUGGCGACCUUUAUUACCAUGAAAUCCCCACCUCCUCCUCACCCCCCCUACACACACACAUUCCCAUCUUAUUAGCCGCUGGACCAUAAGCCAUCUAUGCUAUUUCCUACCUUGUGAAACCGAUUUCCCAAGACCCUUUAAUUCCCUGCAUCAAUUAAUAUGAUACCCAAUUAUGCAAAUACUAAUUCUCAAUUGUAUUUAGGAAAAAAUAUACAUACAUGCCCAUGCAGAAUUUGCUAUUUUGUGGAUUGACAAUGUCUCUUAUUUGACAUCCACCUUAUCCACGCCAGUGCAAUACCAAUAUGGAUGAUAUGUAUUAUGUUUGCCACCAAAACUGAGGGAAUUAAUUUCUUGUAAAUUGGCCAGCAACAACUCUAUGACAAACAAUAUAUCUAAAUUCUCAGUGUUAUUUUUUUUUGUAAUAGGCAUUAUUUAUACUAUUCCUUGAAUGUGUUCAAACUAUUACUUGAACUUGCUAUCAUCAAACGGUAGCAAUUAGCCAAUGACCUAUAUGUUUCGGUGCACCUUUGUAAAAUUUAGAAAAUGCUCGUGUGACAAAAAGAAGAUAUUGAGUGAAAUAUGAAACAAGGCCUUGUGUGUAGUAUAGAAAUGAAUUAGCAGAAUCAGAAGACUACAAUUAGUAUAUUUAAUCUUGACCCUGCAAAACAGUAGUAUAUUUAUUCUUCACAUGAGCAAACUAUGAAAAGAGAUCAUGGUUCCAUCCAACCCGUGCUACCAUGCAUGUAUGAACAAAAUUGAUACGAACUGUUUGAUAUACUCCCUCCAUCCCAAAAUAAGUGUCUUGAUCUUAGUACAACUUUGUACUAAAGUUAGUCCAAAGUUGAGACACUUAUUUUGGGACAGAGGGAGUAAAAAUUUCAUCUUUAAAAAGAGUAUCAUAUAAAUACAAAGACCACUGGUAGAAAAAAGCCCUUUAGUCCCGGUUCGCAAAGGCCUUUAGUCCCGGCUGUGCAACCGGGACUAAAUAUGCGCGACUAAAGACCCCCCCCCCUUUAGUCGCGCCUCUUACGAACCGCGACUAAAGGCUUUAGUCCCGGUUCUCGUGGCUGACCGGGACUAAAGGCCCGUCCACGUGGCCGCCAGGGGUCCGUCGGGGCGGAGGACCUUUAGUCCCGGUUCUCGUGGCUAACCGGGACUAAAGGCCUCGUCCGCAGGUUUAGGGUUUUAGCCCCCCUAAACCUGGUUUCUUUUUAAUUUGUAGUGUUUUAUUUCUUUUAUAUUUUAUUUUGUGUUUUGUUUUAAUUUUGAUGAAGUUUCAGUACACAUAUUCUACGAUACUAUAUACAUGCAUAUGAAAUUUCAAACAAGAAGAAUUCAAGAGGAAUAUAUAAUAUAUAUUCAAUCUCGGGUGACCAUAUACAACUUCGAACAAGUUUCCAUACACAAUUAGGAUGGAGGACCAUAUACAACUUCGAACAAGUUUCAAUCUCGGGUAUGCAUAUAAAUGUCUGUGUCCUCGGUAUAGUGUUCUCCUUUAGGAUUGAUGACUUCCCUCAAGAAAAAUCCUGCUAAUUCAUCUUGAAUUGGUCGGAAGCGAGCUUCUGGACUAAGCCUCCUCCGCAAGUUAUCCGUCGCCUUCCGCACGCUAUCCGAUGCCUUCCGCUCAGAGGUUAGUUUCCGGAUGUUCUCACAAACAUAGUAUCCACAUAGAUUGGUCCCCGGUGGCUGCUUAUCCACAUUAACUAACCUUCUAAAAUCUAGCUCAUGUUUGAAUUCACCGACAAUUUCUUCUGAGAACCGUCUCCAAACCCUACAGGGCAAAGAAAAUUAAAUGAACAAGGGAGUUAUUAGUUACUUGAUAUUAGGAAAUGAACGAAAGAGACCGAUCGAUAUAGAGCUCAAAUGAUUGAAAAUAAUUACUUUUGCAGCAUUUUUCUCAUGUCGGCCCAACGCUUUGGAUCCGAAUCCAUAGAGUCCAUGAUUAGAACUCUGGAGGUGUGAAGUUCAAUAUUUAGCAGAAUCCAGUGGAACCUGCAGACACGUUACAUGCACAGUCAUGCAUAACUCAUCGAUUAGACAUACCAUGCAUGGAGUAAACAAAAGAGAAUGGGCACAAGAGAGAAACAUUCACCCAAAAUGGUAAGGAAAUAGAAUAUGACUUUUGAGUUGAUGCUUUCUAAGAAACUUGUACUAGUCUUUCUCCACGUCUUCGGGGUGAUAUUGUAACACAUGUCCAUUAACGAUAUGUGGGUCAAUGAACCCAACAUCAUGGAUGUUUCUUAUUUUGCAUUCCCAAAUCUUCAAUCUGCAUAAUAGCGUACGCAACAAUAUAGUUAGGACAAUAUAUAUAUAUAUAUAGUGCAGGCAAUGAAGAACGAGAUGAGGUAGAAAUAAAUCACUUACAGAACGUAGCAACUCAGCAUAGAUUUGUCGAGCUCGCGCAGAUUGAACAGCUGGAACAAUUCACUCAUAUGAACUUGUACAGAGUACCGUUUGGUGUGAUGCUCCUCUGUAACAUCCGCAUAAAUAUAUUCUUUGUCGGCCCAUGUUAUGAAUUGCUUGUACCAACGUAGCAGAUUUCGCAUUUGUGGCGGUAGACUCUUCUCCCGCGCAGGCUCGACGAGAGGCCCAUUCCGCACAUAUUGUAAUGCUAUCUCACAUACUGGCGCAUCCUCAAGGCCUAAGAAGGCACGAAGAGUCAAACCCAUCUCGGACGCUUGUUUCAUGGCACUCGCUACAGUCAAUCCAAGUGUUGCCGCAGCUGCUAUGAUCUCGGGGUCCUCUUCCGGACCGGCUUUCACUAUGAGCGGGGGGAUCGAUUGUUUCUUCUGCAUCCCGAGCUGGUCAACUUGUUUCCCGCUUUUUUUACUUUCUUCUUUCUCCUCCUUCAAUAUUUUUGCUUGCCUACGAAGUUCAUGUCCAUAGUCGUCAGGCAUAUUCAGCUCGGCUUGGGACGGUGUCGUAAAAAAAAAAUCUUAGCCCACUUCUUUUGCUUCUCAGUGAAUACUUGCUUGGGCUCAGGCUCUUUUAUCGCCUUCAUAUCCGCCUUCCAUUUCUCAUAAUCAGAAGACGCGGCCAAUUUGGUUUCAGCUUCACUAAGUUCCCCAGGCCUUGGGAGGAGAGGCUUCAGUGAUGGCUCCGGUACCCUUGUGGUCUUAGGUACAUAAGGGUCCGGGUUAAUAGUCCAGGAGCGGGUUUACUUGCUGUCCGACUGCUUCUGCUUCUUCGCCGGAGGUGGAUUGGGGGGCGUCGUACCCGCCGGAGGAGGAUUGGGGGGCGUCGUACCCGCCGGAGGUUGUGGAUCGGGGGACGGCGUCGAAUGGCGUGAAGGAGGUGUAGGUGAACCACCGCGACCACCACCACCGCCACCACCGCCACCACCACCACCAUCGGAGGGGGGUGGACUUGCUAGCCUUGGCGCGUCGCCUGGAAACACUAUGUACUUCUUUUUCCAUAGAAUGAUCUGGCGCUUGACAUCUCCAAGUCUUCUCUCCCCUUCGGGUGUAGGUUUGUCAAUCUCCAGGUCCUCAAACCCUUGGACUAUGUCUUCCACCGUGACACGAGCAUAGCCAUAUGCAAUGGGGUUGUUGUGGUGGAGUGCUCCAGGUGUACAGGGUAAAGCACUGCCGCUAGCUACCUUCGUGGAAACGUUCCCCACGGGAUAAUGCAGAUCACAUUCUUUCAUCUCCUUUACAUCAUCCACGGGGUAGUGAGGCUCCGGUGCACGAAUCUUGAUCAUCGGUGCACUAGCACCAGGCGGGGCAUCCGUGGAAGCCACGCUGCUUCUCCGCUGCUGGCUUCCGCGAUCCGCUUCAUGAUCUUCAUGCGGCCCUGCAGCCGAUUUUUCUUUUACUAGUUCAUGCACGGUCUGCUUCAACUCAUGGAGUUCCGAUGCAAACUUCGUCAUAAGAUCUGCAUGCCGGUCCGUCUUUCUCUUACGGCUUCUGUAACAGUACGGGUCAUUGUCCUGGGAAAACCCUACUUUCCACGGAACUUUGCCUUUGCCUCGUACACGUCCUCCGUGUUCAUCAUUCCCGAGGGCUGUUGUCAGUGCGUCUUUCUCUCUGUUGAACUUGAUCAAGCCCUCUUGAGCUUGGGUCAUUGCGUCAAUAAGGGCUUGGGUGGGAGCAAACUGUCUCUGCCGGUGAACACACACCCCUGUCUCCGGGUCUAGCGAUCCCCCAUGCCCGUACCACCAGCUUUUGGCCCUUGGGUCCCAUCCCUUUGUACCUAGAGGGAUUCCUCGCACCCUCAGGUCCUCCUCCAUCUUCUGCCACCUAGGCUCCGAAAGGCGGUAUCCUCCUGGCCCCAUAAUAUGAUGGAACUUUUUCUUACUCGCAUUAUCCUUAUUUUUUUUCGAUAUUUCCUUGAAAUGCUCCGAUUGCUUUUGCCUCACAAAUUCUGGCCAAUCAACUUUCAGUUUCUCAUGUUGUCCAUUGAAAUCCGGAGUCUUGCCCUUGUUGACAUAGUCACGGGUUAAAUUUUUCUUGAAGUUCCGGAAUGCUUCGCCCAUCUUCUGAAGAGCGAACUCUUUAACUAGCCUCCUCCUCUGACGUCCACCCGGAACCUCGUUACCGAAUUCAUCGACUUUGCUAUAUUCCGGAGGUAGAAUGAAAUGUUCCAUAAGCUUUCUCCAGCAAUCCUUUUUCGUUCUCUUGUCGACAAAACUGAAACCAAGACGUGCCUUCUUUGGCUCCUUCCAUUCCUGGACGGUGAUCGGGACAUUGUCUCUAACAACGACUCCGCAUUGGUUGAUAAACUUUGAGGUGUGCUGUAGGGGCUUGCCGGUUUCACUGACAAACUCAAUGGCAUAUGUUUCUCCUGUUUUCAUCGCCUUGGAUUUGCCACGCUUUGUCGUACUCGAUCCGGAGGGCUAAAAAAAGAAAGAGAGUCGCGCGCGUUAAUACAUAUGUAUUCACAUUUCAGUAAGUUUGUAUCACAAGAGGCUCAAUGUAUAUAUAUACCUCGCCGGAGGUGGUUGCUACUUGCAAUUCGAGAUCGCCGUUUGUUGACGGUUGACCUCCGUCGACAAUGUCCGUUCCUUCACCUUCUUGAUCAUCGACAAUCUCUGUUCCACCGUCAAGGUUCGGAAAAGAAGAGACUACAUCCUCUUCUUGCUCAUAUUCUGAGCCCGGCAUAUAAGGAAUCUCGUUGUUGAUGAUGCCCAUUAAAUAACGUUCAGCCUCCGGAUCCCUAAGUGGCUCGGCUGUAUCGUCCGCCAGAUGUCACUCCUGCAUGUAGUAAAAAUUCUUUAAGUAUAAAGGAAUUAAAAAAUAAGAUUAAGGGGACAUAGAGGAGGAGGAAUUAAAAAAUAAGAUUAUCCAGCAAUCCUUUUUCUUUCUUCUUUUUUUCUUCUUCCUUUUUCUUUCUUCUUUCUUUCUUCUUUCUUUUUUUCUUCUUCCUUUUUUUCUUCUUCCUUUUUUUUCUUCUUCCUUUUUUUUCUUCUUUCUUUUGGUUUUCAUUUGGUUUUCUUUCUUCUUUCUUUUUGGUUUUCAUUUGGUUUCUUUGGNNNNNNNNNNNNNNNNNNNNNNNNNNNNNNNNNNNNNNNNNNNNNNNNNNNNNNAUGAUAAUUAUUUUUGCUAUUAAAGUUUCUAACAAAAAAAGUUCUUUAUGAAAAUUCUUUUAGCUUUCAAUGAUUUUAAAAUCUUAAAAAUACAAUUAUAUAUCAAAAAAUCAGAAAAAUAAAACUAAUUCAUUUUAAAAUCUUAAAAAUACAAAUAGUAUAUCAAAAAAAUCAGAAAAAUAAAACUAAUUCAUUUUAAAAUCUUAAAAAUACAAUUAUAUAUCAUAAAAAUCAGAAAAAUAAAACUAAUUCAUUUUAAAAUCUUAAAAAUACAAAUAAUAUAUCAAAAAAUUCAGUUCAUCGAUCCCUUGAAGGUUUGACAAAAGGUUUGAUACAUCAUUCAGUUCAUCGACCAAAUACAAAGUUUGGUACAAUAAAUUAUUACACAUUAAUUCUUCCCUUGUGUCCCUGCUUGCUUAUGAUUGUGCCGUAUCCAUGGAGCAUCCUCAUCAUUUAACUUAAUGCUUGGGUGAGUGUUCACUUUGAAGGGCGGAAUUUCACCAAACAUAUUAUAAUCUUCUGACAUGUCUGUCUUGUCCUCCACUCCCACGAUGUUUCUUUUCCCUGAAAGAACAAUGUGGCGCUUUGGAUCAUGGCAUGAUGUACUGAUCGUUUUCUUAUCUUUCCGUUUCCUCGGUUUGCUACUCAUGUCCUUCAAAUAAAAAACCUGAGCGACAUCUUUGGCAAGGACGAAUGGUUCGUCAAGGUAACCAAGAUUGUUGAAAUCCACCAUUGUCAUUCCGUAUUGCUCGUCCACCUUUACCCCACCUCCUGUUAGCUUGAACCAUUUGCACCGGAACAAAGGGACCUUAAAGGAGGGUCCAUAGUCAAGUUCCCAUAUCUCCUCUAUGUAACCAUAAUAUGUGACCUUUCGCCCAUUCUCGGUUGCUGCAUCAAAGCGGACACCACUGUUUUGGUUGUUGCUCUUUUUAUCUUGGGCGAUGGUGUAAAAUGUAUUCCCAUUUAUCUCGUACCCUUGGAAAAUCGUUAUAGUCGAAGAUGGUUUCUUGGCCAACAUGUACAGCUGAUCUCCAACAUCAUUGUCAUUCAUUAAAUGUUUUCGCAACCAACUGCCGAAAGUCUCCAUGUGGGCCUUUCUAAUCCAGGAUUCAGGCUUCCCCGGGUUGUCCAAGCGUAAAAUAUUCUUGUGCUGCUCGAAGAACGGAGCCACCAAGCUGGAAUUUUGUAGAACUGUGUGGUGUGCUUCAGCCAUAGAAUGACCGUCCAUACAUAUCGUUGAUUUCCUUCCGAUCGUGCCUUUUCCACUUAGUCUCCCCUCGUGCCGCGAUUGAGGAAUACCAAUCGGCUUAAGGUCCGGAACAUAGUCAAUACAGAACUCAAUUACCUCCUCAUUUCCAUAGCCCUUAACGAUGCUUCCUUCUGGCCUAGCACGGUUACGAACAUAUUUCUUUAAUACUCCCAUGAACCUCUCAAAGGGGAACAUAUUGUGUAGAAAUACAGGACCGAGAAUGGAAAUCUCUUCGACUAGGUGGAGCAGGAGGUGCGUCAUAAUAUCGAAGAAGGAUGGUGGGAACACCAACUCGAAACUGACAAGGCAUUGGACCACAUCGUUCUGUAACCGUGGUAGAUCUUCUGGAUUGAUUACCUUCUGAGAGAUUGCAUUGAGGAAUGCACAUAGCUUCACAAUGGCUACUCGAACAUUUUCCGGUAGGAGCCCCCUCAAAGCAAUCGGAAGCAAUUGCGUCAUAAUCACGUGGCAGUCGUGAGACUUCAGGUUUUGGAACUUUUUCUCCGCCAUGUUUAUUAUUCCCUUUAUAUUCGACGAGAAGCCAGACGGGACCUUCAUACUGCUCAGGCAUUCAAAAAAAUGACCUUCUCUUCUUUGGUAAGAGCGUAGCUGGCACGACCUUGAAACCAUUCCGGAUGCUGGUCAUCUGGGUCUUUCAAAAGUUGCUGGUCCUGCCGUGCUUCCUUUGUAUCAUUUGUCUUCCCAUACACGCCCAAGAAGCUUAGCAGGUUCACGCAAAUAUUCUUCGUAAUAUGCAUCACGUCGAUUGCAGAGCGGACAUCUAGGACUUUCCAAUAUUCUAGCUCCCAAAAUAUAGAUUUCUUCUUCCACAUGGGUGCGUGCCCGUCAACUCCCCGCGGAACUGAUUGUCCGCCAGGACCCUUUCCAAAGAUGACUUUCAAAUCCUUGACCAUAUCAAAUAUCUCAGCACCAGUACGUUCCGCAGGCUUCGGCCGGUGAUCUGCCUUGCCGUUGAAAUGCUUGCCUUUCUUUCUUACGUUAUGAUUUCGGGGAAGAAAUCGACGAUGACCCAGGUACACGUUCUUCUUACAAUUAACCAAACGUACACUUUCAGUCUCAUGUAAGCAGUGCGUGCAUGCAUUGUAUCCCUUAUUUGUCUGUCCCGAAAGGUUACUGAGAGCAGGCCAAUCGUUGAUGGUUACAAAAAGCAACGCUCGUAGGUCAAAUUCCUCUCCUUUGUGCUCAUCGCAGACACGUACACCAGGUCUGGCCCACAACUGUAAGAGUUCUUCAACUAAUGGCCUUAGGUACACAUCGAUGUCGUUGCCGGGUUGCUUAGGGCCUUGGAUGAGCACUGGCAUCAUAAUGAACUUCCGCUUCUUGCACAACCAAGGAGGAAGGUUGUAGAUGCAUAGAGUCACGGGCCAGGUGCUAUGGCUGGAGCUCUGCUCGCCAAAAGGAUUCAUGCCAUCAGUACUUAGACCAAAUCUUAUGUUCCUUGCGUCAGCUGCAAAAUCUUUGAACACUCUGUCGAUCUUUCUCCAUUGCGUUCCAUCAGCGGUGUGCCUCAACUCCCCGUCGGACUUACGGUCCUCUUUGUGCCAUCGCAACGACUUGGCAUGCUUUUCGUUCCUGAACAGACGUUUCAACCAUGGUAUUAUAGGAGCAUACCACAUCACCUUGGCGGGAACCCUCUUCCUGGGUUUCUCGCCCUCAACAUCGUCACCAGGGUCAUCGCCUCUGAUCUUAUAACGCAAUGCAGUGCAUACAGGGCAUUCAUUCAAAUUCUCGUAUUCACCGCGGUAGAGGAUGCAGUCGUUAAUGCAUGCAUGUAUCUUCAGAACCUCUAAACCUAGAGGGCAGACAACCUUCUUUGCUUCAUACGUACUGGCGGGCAACUCGUUAUUCUUCGGAAACAUAUUCUUCAACAUUUUCAGCAAAUUUUCAAAUGAUGAGUCACCUACACCUUCCUGUGCCUUCCAUUUUAGCAAAUCCAGUGUGCAGCCCAGCUUUUUCAGACUAUUAUCGCAUCCUGGAUACAACGACUUUUUGUGAUCCUCUAACAUGCGAUCCAAAUUCUCCCUNNNNNNNNNNNNNNNNNNNNNNNNNNNNNNNNNNNNNNNNNNNNNNNNNNNNNNNNNNNNNNNNNNNNNNNNNNNNNNNNNNNNNNNNNNNNNNNNNNNNNNNNNNNNNNNNNNNNNNNNNNNNNNNNNNNNNNNNNNNNNNNNNNNNNNNNNNNNNNNNNNNNNNNNNNNNNNNNNNNNNNNNNNNNNNNNNNNNNNNNNNNNNNNNNNNNNNNNNNNNNNNNNNNNNNNNNNNNNNNNNNNNNNNNNNNNNNNNNNNNNNNNNNNNNNNNNNNNNNNNNNNNNNNNNNNNNNNNNNNNNNNNNNNNNNNNNNNNNNNNNNNNNNNNNNNNNNNNNNNNNNNNNNNNNNNNNNNNNNNNNNNNNNNNNNNNNNNNNNNNNNNNNNNNNNNNNNNNNNNNNNNNNNNNNNNNNNNNNNNNNNNNNNNNNNNNNNNNNNNNNNNNNNNNNNNNNNNNNNNNNNNNNNNNNNNNNNNNNNNNNNNNNNNNNNNNNNNNNNNNNNNNNNNNNNNNNNNNNNNNNNNNNNNNNNNNNNNNNNNNNNNNNNNNNNNNNNNNNNNNNNNNNNNNNNNNNNNNNNNNNNNNNNNNNNNNNNNNNNNNNNNNNNNNNNNNNNNNNNNNNNNNNNNNNNNNNNNNNNNNNNNNNNNNNNNNNNNNNNNNNNNNNNNNNNNNNNNNNNNNNNNNNNNNNNNNNNNNNNNNNNNNNNNNNNNNNNNNNNNNNNNNNNNNNNNNNNNNNNNNNNNNNNNNNNNNNNNNNNNNNNNNNNNNNNNNNNNNNNNNNNNNNNNNNNNNNNNNNNNNNNNNNNNNNNNNNNNNNNNNNNNNNNNNNNNNNNNNNNNNNNNNNNNNNNNNNNNNNNNNNNNNNNNNNNNNNNNNNNNNNNNNNNNNNNNNNNNNNNNNNNNNNNNNNNNNNNNNNNNNNNNNNNNNNNNNNNNNNNNNNNNNNNNNNNNNNNNNNNNNNNNNNNNNNNNNNNNNNNNNNNNNNNNNNNNNNNNNNNNNNNNNNNNNNNNNNNNNNNNNNNNCCUUUAGUCGCGGUUGGCCAGGCCAACCGGGACUAAAGCCCCUCCCGUCCGCCAGCUGUCGACCGAGCGCGCUGGGCCCAGAUAGUUGGUCGCGGGUCCCAGAUAGUUGGUCGCGGGUCUCCUUCCGAACCGCGACUAAAGACCCCUUUUGUCGCGGUUCGAUUAUUUUGGGGACUAAUGGGGGCGUAUGGAAGCCUCUUUUUCUACCAGUGGACCUACCAAAUAUCGCAAGCAUGCGACUGGAUAUUAUAGGACCAACUUUUACCAAUUACCGUACUAUUACUUUUGAUGUCCACAAAAUGCAGUGAAGUAAUUAUGAGAAAACAAAAAUGCAGAGUUGACCAAAACAACUAACCACUAUACUUGAUGUAGAAGAUGAUGUUAGUAUAAGCCUGCUGACGGCAACGCCAAUUGAAGCUUAAAGAACACAACUCGUACAAGGAUUAAAAUCUACAACCAUACAAACACAGCUUCAGCAUGAUGACAUGUUGAAUGUAGAUUGUAGACCUGUACUUGCAUGCCCUCUCAAUCCUCGUAGUAUCCUCUCUUGUCUUAAUUUCCUUCUCUAAUCUUCAUCUUGCCCAUGUGUUGCACCCCGUUCCAGAAAGAAAUAAACAUGAGCUACUGUGAUUUGCAAGGACCAUCAACAUGUAUAGACAAAAUUUCUUAGUAUUAGUUCAUAGCAGAAACCAAAGAGUAUCAUAACAAUGGUUCAAUCACCUUCGAGGCUUUAACAACCGAUUAGAAUGAGGUGCCUGUGUAGGCGAGAUGGAGCCAUAGAUGAUAUGACAGCCUAGCCACUUUGAGAGUGGAGAAAACCAUAGACCGAGCCUCCUCUUUGCACUCAUCUUUCGCAUGAGAGUGGACAUGUGCGUCCCUCUCCCUCACUCUGAGCUCUACGGAUACAAACCACACAAGUUAGUAAUAGCCCUUUUCUGAUGCACGAUGAAGUUGGAUGACCUCCCCAGUCUAUUGUCGCGUGAGAUCCUAGCGAACAUACGCAUCGCCAGCAACAUCGCAGCCUCAUGACCUUAGGGCUCAGACACAUGCGUCAUCUGGAGACCGCCUCCCCACCACCUCAGCACACCGAUGUGUGCGCCGUCCCCUACAACAUAAAGGCCCCAUGACUUCAAGCAAGCGCAUCUUUGACCACUGUCGCCGCGCCAACUCAGCAAACCGGCGCAUGCACCAUGCUCCCUCGACGAGCCGCUUUGCGUUCUUGCGGCGCCGCCGCCGCACGCCAUUCGAAGCAUGGUUUUAAAUAGCCCGCUAUAGCGUUUAGAAAAGAUCUCGCGCGAAGGGUCUUUUGUCCAAACACAUGAGCAAACAUUUUAAAUAGCUCGCUAUAGCAUUUAGAAUAGGCCCGCCGCUAAGAGUCUUAGCGCGCUAUUUAAAACUUUGGUUCCAAGAGAGAUGGCCGAGAGGAGAGAGAUGACGUAGGCUUAGGAAGACAGGAUGAAUGGGCACCUCACAUCCGGCCUCUGAUCCACCAUAAACACGUCGCGGUUGCUGCCCUGGCGCCCGUCGACCUGUGACCACCAUAGGAGAAUACAGGAGUUGAGGGAGGGAAUAGGGUUUCUCUGGUUUGCUCGACGGAUUAAUUGCAUUGAGUGGAACGGGAAUUGAAUCGGUUGAUCAUGCAAAAUCGGCACUUAGGAUGGCAUGGUGUUUUGACAUGAUCCCAACACCGCGUCAUAGGGAUCUAGAUCAACACCAGGUCGCAUACGUGAUGUGUCUGGUAUGAAUUUUUUCAUUGGCGAGCGGUAAACAACGGUGAUGUAGAGAUUAAUUGUCCUUGAGCUAAGCUGGGUUACUAAAGAAGAAUCUGAUCGAGGUACGUGAAUUAAUUUUUGUGGCCUUGUAUCGAUUGGUUUUAGUAUUUGAAGAGGACGAGACUUGCCUGCUCCCUUUCCAUGCUCCCAUCGUGCUCCCGCAUACGUGGCUUGAUUUGAUUGAAAGAAAAUAAGGCCCGGCCCCACCCCCUGAAAAUCAGGGGGGUGAUAAUUAAAUUAGAAAAGAAAAAGGGAAAAGAACAGCCGUAGGAUGAAGUGGAAGCACGGAUGGGAGCAUGAAGAGGGAGCAGGCAAGCCGGAUCCAUUUGAAGAUUGAUUACCGUCCGUUAGUUAACUUGGGUUACCAAAAAGAAAUCAAUCGCCAUGCAUGAAUUGAUUGUGUUAUCAAAUAAAAGUUGGGUACUAAUUUGCGCCGGCGCCGGCCCAACCGGUUCGGCCGGUCAGCCCCUGGCCGUCCAAUUCAGCAGCGUGCAGCCAUCCGAUUGGGUUUGCGUUCUCUUCUUCCUUCCCCCACUCGUCUUCAUCCUGGUUUAGCCCUCAUCCUUCAUUGCCCGACAGAAUUUUCUGUAGCGCCCCAUCGCCCCUCCUCCCCCUGGCCUCCUGCUUGCAGCUCCGCAUGCCGGCUCGCUGUCGCCUCUCGCCGCAUCAGUAGCCAUCGAUCUGGCAUCUUUGACCUACAUCGGCGUCUUCUUCACGACAGGAUGCCGUCUCUUCCCCUCGCAUGUCCGGCUCCUGCGGGUCAGCCGCACCUUCUUCCACCAAGCUCUGCAUCCGUCUCUCCCGCACACAUCUCGUCCUGCCUCCGGCCGCCUCGCCCCCCGCGACAACCCCCACCAGCAUCUCGCGCUGCUCAUCACCGUGUUUGAAGCACCGUUGUAGCAAAUAUGCCUGGAUGUAGCAAAAAUCUUCGCCAGUGGUAGCAAAACCAAAGCAUUGUUGCAGCGAACCGCCGUCGCGGCCAUUGCGGGUUGCAGCUAAUCCACGAACGGCGGCGGUUGUAGCAAAAACAUCACCAUCAAUGUCGAACGUCACAGCUAAGUCGUGAAGCAUGUAGCAAACAACGACGCCGGUAGUAGCAAAAACAUCAACUGUUGCAGCACCCGACCAAGGUCACAACUAAUCUGUACAUGGUUGUAGCAAAAGAAAUCACCGGUGGUAGCUCUGCCAUAGCCGGUUGUAGCACACAGUCUUCGUUCCAGCAAAAACAUACAGCCUGUUGAUCGCCGCCGUCGUCGCACGCCGCAGCUAAGCCGUGAAGUAUGUAGCAAACAACGACCCCAAUAGUAGCAAAAGCGACAACGGUUGCAGCUUUUUUGGUAUUGACAGUAGCCAGACCUGACAUAUGUCGUCGUGAUUGAAGCUUUUUGCGAUACCGGUCGAAGCUUUCUGCGACACCGGUUGUAGCUUUUUGCGAUGGCACUGAGCGGUCUCAGCAUUUGGCGUCAUGGUUUGAAGCUUUUUGCGGUGCCUGUGGUAGCUUCCUUGAACACCAGUUGUAACAUGGGAGGUGUCGCUUAAUGCUCACAGCUCCGGUGAGAUUCUCCCAGUAGCAAAUGCUCAACGGCGUCGCCCAUAGCAGCUCGCAGUCUCCCCCGUCGUCGUCUGCCCCCGAGCUCAUAAGCCAUGGCACCCAUAGCAGCUCGUAGGAGCCCCGUCGCAGUCCGCCCCGAGCUCGCCAGCCAUGGCCGCCCUGACCUUGAGCUCGCAGGCCAUGGCGCAUGGGAGCAGCACCCCCAUGGAGGAGGUGCAGCGUGAGGUGCGAAGGGAGGAGUGCUCGGAGCUGCCUGGUGCUAUGUCGGAGGAGGCGAGGCGGAAAGCGAUGGGGAAAGCGAGGUCACGGCCGCGAGGAAAGGAGUGGAUGCGGGCGUUGGGGAGAGGAUAAGGUACACGUGUUCCCUUCCUGAUGGCUAACGCCAGCGUGCCGAAGUGACCGGCCUGAGCGUUCAUCCGGCUCACCGUGCGUAAACAUUUCCCAUAAAAGUUGGGUUUGUCCGGCCAUAUCAUUACCCAAUAAAGGUUGGGUUUGUUUGGCCAAAUGAGAAAACCAGUGAAAACCGGUGGAGGGAGGGAGGGAGGAAAAUCGGUAAAGGGGUAGUGUGUGUGUGUGUGUGUAUAUAUAUAUAUAUAGAGAGAGAGAAGAGAAGAGAAGAGAAGAGAAGAUAGCGAUAGAGAUAUAGAUAUAGAGAUAAAGAUAAAGACUAGAGAUAGAGACAGAGAUUGCUCUACAUUUUCUUUUAGCAGCAAAUCACCUGGUGAUUGAAUUUGCCACCAUUGAUACUCUGCCGAUUUGGUGCUGAUUUUUCUUCAGAGAAGGUUGCUCAACUUUCCAUCGGGCGGAUCAACAGUUUUGGAAGUACGACCAUGAUUUACCUCUCUCUCAGAUUUCCACGCAAAUGAUUCCUAGCUCCUCGGAUCUUCUUGAUCUCAGGGUUCAUGAUUUCCUUCGCAGGAGAUCCACUUCCAGGCUGAAACAUGUACAGAGCCCUCCAUACAGGAGCCUGAAAUCUAGUUCUCCACUUCUCUUGUACAGUACGAGGAAGGACAUGGUGGUGAAGAAGAGAGCGGCAGUGAUUGCGGCCCUGUCCGUGUUCCUACUCCUCAUGCUGUCCAGGCCAUCCCAUCAACAGUUCUCCAAUUACUCCUGCAACUGCUACCGAGAGUGCUACUUAGAGUGCAAGCACGCCUUCCCGAUGCUCUGCAAGGUCGUGUGUGGCGGCAGCUGUGAUGACAAGAAUGACCCCGUAGCCGCCUGCAUGGUCGCCUGCACCAAGGACUCCCUAUGCGGCGUGCCGGCGGCGCCAUCCGGUAAGAGGACCUCCUACCACCUUGCUUUAUGAUAUGGGUGCGUUCGUAGAGGCACACUCAUGGAAUAUGUGUGCUCUUUAUGCUGUCAUUUUGUUCUGAUGAUCCUGUGCUUGCACUGCCAUUUUGCAUAUGCAGGCGCCGCGUAUUGUAGCCAUGCGUGCAACGAUACGUGGGGUCGCCAUGGACGGGCCAAGGUUCCUUGAAGAUUGAAGAUCUGGCCGAUCAUGGGAUCAUAUGAUGUCGAACUGCUGCACCAAUGCAAUAAUAUGUAUUUGGCUUCGGUGCACUACUUGUGAUUGUGAGGAAGUUUGUGAAUCUUAUAAUAAAGCCAGUUAUCAAUGCAUUUGGUAAAUCCCUGCUAAUUUGAUGUGUCUUUGAUACCAUCCUCUGACCAGAUUGCAAGAUCACAAUUGUCUUAUCUUCUUUCUGCGGGGAAUAAGUAACGUAGGAGAGGGUUAAUAACAUGUAAAAGAAUUCAAACAUCAGCAAACUAAUCGAAGCCUUGUGUGAGUCUGAACAAAAGCAAAAUAAUUUGAAACAAAUUCGUCGGUCACACACAAAAUGGGACAUAUAUAAGCCGCAAUUUGACGUAGGAUUGGCCCGUCCAUAUAUAAUCAAAAGAAAACAGUGAAAAUGAACACAUAGAAAAUACCAACUAAAAGGUACUCCUUCCGUAAAGAAAUAUAAGAGCGUUUGUAUCACUAAAGAAUACAAGAGCGUUUAGAUCACUACUUUAGUGAUCUAAACGAUGCUCUUAUAUUUCUAAACAAAGGGAACAACUAAUUAAUUGUACCAGCCUUAGCUCAGUGGUUGGGCAUGCAAAGUUUAGUUCAUAGAAUUGAUAAUGCACAGGGAGAACCACUUAGGAAGAAAUAUCUUGAUACUCAUUUAAAAAAUUCUGAGGACCAUGCUUAUCUUCAUACUCAUAUUAAAAUGCCCGUAUGCAUCCCUAGUUGGUGCAGAGGCUGGAAAGUGACAAUCUCUUUCAUUUUAAAGAAGCACAAGCUACCUCACGAGAGACAGGGAGGCGACUACACUAGCGACCGCGAGGGCACCCAAGGCCGCCCCGGAUGCUGGCGGGGCAAUCGCUUUUGGGCUCUCUCCGGGACGAUCUUCGACGAGGAGGACCGCACUAUGACCAGAUUGGUGGCGGAGGUCCCACUGCCCGAUGCCGUCGGAUAUCAUUUGCGAGUAUCUUCAGGUGGGCUAUUCGGAAGAAGAAGUCGGCGGAACAUCGACGUGAUUGUUCUGUCAAGCGAUCAGCCUUGGGAUGGACAGAAGGGGAAAGAUAAGGUCGAGGUUCUCCGGCGAACGGCUCCGACAGUGAUUCGGCCAUGGAAGGGACCAAUCCCCAAGGUACGUUUGCCGGCACUAACUUUGCAGUAUUUCAUUGAUCCCCAUUCUUGGACUGUAGUAUCACGACGGAAGAAAAAAUGGCCAAUGGCAAUGCUGAUGCCGGCGCCGGCGGCCGACCAGAUCGGGGCGAUCAGGGAGGCUCGGUGCCUGCGUUUGAAUUCGUUGCUGGGCAGUCUGGACCGAAAUCAGCGCAGGGGUAUGUGGGAUCAACGGGCACUAGGUAUACGGCCUAGUGCAGCGCCGAGGAUGUUGGGCCGCGUGCAAAUAUGAUCGAGGACGUAAUGGGGGCGAGUGGACAUGCCUGGCUUCGUUUCGACUGCAGUUAGAGCAUCUCCAACAGGUGCGCUAGACAUGGGGCCCGCGGGAAAAAAUAUUUAAGCAAACUCCCUAACACUAGAUAUAUUCAUAUGUAUAGUUACAUUUCAGUAAAAAAAAUUACAACUUACAGGCACAUAUCUACCAGUCUAACCAAAAGAGAAGAUUCUACUGUGCGAGGUUCGUUCACCCCAUCCCCGAGAAUGUCAAGAGGAGCAACACAACAUGUCCCUGUAUCAUACAUAGUUUUUUAACAAGAACGACAAUCACACACCCAACACACUGAAGCACACACUCCCGUGCAUACAUCAUAUGUAUAUUCAACUCAACAAAGAAUUCAAAUUCAAACAUUAGCAAACUCACAGAAGCCUACACGGGUCUUGCUACUGAAUAGAUGCAAAUUUGGUUAAAGAAAGAGAGAAUUGUGCAAAUUCAAUUCACAGAUGUCUUUCCAGGCAGCUACUUCACAUCUCCAGGAACUUGAAAUAGCAAUCUGUCCGUCACUACUACCAAACAGCAUUGUUUGAAAACUGCAUUCAGUUUUCUUUCUACAUCAGCACAAGUCUCUUCAGCAUGCGCUUGUCUAAUCGGUUUAUGAUCCAAGGUUAUUUUCAGGUGUGCCACUAGGCCACUAGGGGCUAGUAAGUGGUAGUAUGCACCAUCUUGUUUAGGAAAUUAAUGCCAUGGCAAAACUGGCUACAAAACAACCAUGCCUGAAAUUGUGGGUAAUCUGAUGUGCUAGAAAAUACUGCAAUACUUGUCGUGUUACACUACAAAUUAUCCCGGUCAAAUACCGAUAUUGCCCUCAGAACUCCAGUAUAUAAAGACCACACAUCUGACUGACUAAGAGAGCCACCAGUCACCUGAAAACUCCCACAUCAGUUCCCUUCCUCUUCUCUUGUCAUAGCUUGGGCGAGGAAGGAGAUGAGAUGGAGGUGAAGAAGAGGGCGGCCGCCAUUGCCACGCUGUGCAUCAUGCUCCUCAUCAUGUCAGUGCCAUCCAAGCAACAGGUGGACGCCAUGUUCUUCUGCAACUGUUACCAGCAGUGCCACCACGGGUGCAGGCACAGCGUCCCUUGGUGGCUCUGCAACGUCGACUGCGCCGGCAACUGUGACGGUGUUGACAAGAAGGACGCCCUCGCCGCAUGCAUCAUGGUCUGCAGCACGGACUCCAUCUGUGACCCGUCGGUGCACCAACGUGUAAGACCAACAGAACAGCUUACUUGCAUUCCAUUUGCCCCGUUCCGUUUAUAGUUGAAUUCUCCUGAACAUCGAUGCAAUAUAUGCUCUCUUUUUUCUAUUGAUACAAAGAAGAAUCACCACCUGGUCUGAGGAUCUUGUGCUCGUCUUGGCCAUUUUUGCAGAUACACAUGGUGUUGCGGAUUGUAUAGCUGAGUGCAAGAAGAGGUGGGGCAACAAUUAAUGCCAAGUAACCUUCAAAAUAAAGAGUUGAAUAGCCUCUGGAUCAUGGGAUCGUGAUGUUGAAAACUGUGAUUGCGGAACCAAUCAAUAUUCAAUAGAAUGUGUUUUGCGCGUCCGCACAACACUUGUGAAAUUUUGCAAAUCUCAUAGUGUGACAUGUUUACUUCAUACUCCAAAACUUAGCAAUCCCAUCCACUUAAACAUUAGCAAUCUCACCGAAGCCCUCCCUGAAUCUCAGGGAAAGCAAAACAACUCAACAUUCACUAGUUAGAACCAGGUAAAUACAAAUACGCUAAAUGGGCAUAAGCAGAAAUUCUACGCAUAAUUCGUCCUUGCCUGAUACAACAUGGAACACAAUCAAAAGAAAACAGUGAAUAUGAACACACACAAAAUGCAAGGAAGAACAGCUGAAAGGUUCAUACUAAUUAAUUGUAGCAAGCCAGUUGGUCAAUUGACUACAGAAAGUAGAUAACAAGCCAGGUUGAUCAAAAUAAGCGAUUAAUUCCAAUAAGCCCACUUCACGUCUGACUAGUGCAUCCUACAUAGAGGGUGGAUUUUCCUCGCGGGUCGCAGCAAACAAGCCCCUUCUGCAUCUCGGCCACCAGACUGUAACUCAAGAUACCUGCAGGGCAAUCACAGCAUCAGUCAAACCAAAUGUGUGCCAUUCAUUCAUGAAAAUGACGUUAAAGUUUUAUCAGAUGAUUUUGUAUGACUCAAAUAGUAAACAUUAGCUUCACCAUUGUGGAGAUCUCCAAAGGCGAAUCAUCUCAGCAUUACAAAACCAACAUUAGAAACACAGAAUAGGUAAUUUGUAGUGUAGUGACCUUCGGCUUCUAUUAUUACUUUAUUGGCAAUUUUUGGCUAUAUCUGGUCCUAAUAGAGGCUAAAAGAUCAGUGGCAUACAAGGGGUUCAUGGAGUAGGAAAUAAGAGAUGUCAAAGUUUUGUUUCUAGCUCAUUAUCGUUCUUCUUUUUAAAUGCAGAAGCAGCUAGCUAGUCACCAAUGGAUGAAUUUAAUCAAAUUCAUGAUGUAGAAGCCUGAACUAAGGGAUCAUGCAUCGCCUUAUUAACAGACUGACUUACUUCGGUCAAGCGUAGGUAUCUUUUUUUUUCACUCUGCACAGUAUUUGACCACUACUUCCAAUGAUAAUAUGUUGUUAGUGCACAGUGAAAUUCGUUGUGAAAGCAGUAUUUAUAGUGAAUCUUGUCAUGCCAUUUUGAUGACAUGUUUAAUAUAAAGUGUUAAACAUCAAGCCUGAUCAAUUUUAAGAAAUUAAACUGCCACAAAGCAUAUACAUAUACAUAUAGUUUGCAGCAGACAACGGCCAAUUGAAUAUACAACUAACCAUGAGAGGUGCCGAGACAAUAUUUAAGAAAACUGCCUAAAACUAGUAUAACCUUCCACAAAUCUAAUACUUUAACUACAAGUGGAUGAUAAAGAGUAGUACGGCAUGGCACGAAGGCAUGCUCUUCAAAAAUUUGUUACAAUAAUUAGUUCACUGGGUAUCACAAUGAUCCAAAAUAAGCAGCAAUGUGAAAUGGCAUAGCUAUAAAGCCCAUAUAAGUGAAGGAAGUAUAGAACAAAUGAUCAGGUUACUUUAGUUGUCAGUCACUUACGCAGAGAAGUACAUAUAAAUCAUUAGAACCUGAUAGAUCCAUAACCAAAGAAACCUAAUCAAAGGCAAUGUAGCAUGUGUAAAAUUAAAACAAAAUCUAUGAAUCAUGAAAAAGGAUGUACUUCAUUCUGCUACCACUUAACAUGAGUACAUGACACCAUUAUAAUCUAUGACCGAGUAGGAACAAAAUUCUGCACAAAGAGGGGAAGGGUAUCAAGUCAUCAGUCAUCUGAGGAGCUAGAGGGAGAAAAACCAGCACUACUAGAGGGGACUUGGGUAGUACUAAGGAGGUAAGCUGAAAUUAAGCAAGGCAGCUGGAUGGAAGGGAGAGGCAAGUGAAGAGAAUAUCUAGUAGAGGGGCUUAAAACACAUAGAUUAAAAUCGCGGGUGAAGGGAAAUCGCGUAAGGAAAGUUUGCCGCAAUGGUUAACGAAGAAACAGCACGAUCUCUGGCGAUUGCGGCACGAUCUCCCGCGAUUCUGGGAAGGAAGGAAAUCGCGGGGCAGAUUUCACGCGGAGAUAGCGCCGCGAUAGCGGUCUUUUAGCCAGCGAUUUAAAACUAUGUUAAAACAUCAGCAAAUAAAAGAGAAUGUAAGUGGGUGAAGGCAUGAGGAAGAGAAUGCAGAGCUGCUAAGGAAGGGAUGAUGAGAAGUGGCCAGGUGGGAAAAACUUAGGCAAAAGAUUGUGGAGAAAAACUUACAACCCUCUCUUGCAAUUUAGUAUUUGAGAAUGGCAGUAAAAAGGGAAAAAAUACAUGUUUUUGAAAGAACAGUUCAGAACUUCAGAUGCCUCAACAUACAUUCAGAAGAUAAGCUUUCCUGCUCAAC
rnacentral:lncRNA from 1 species